ACACAACAUCUUUAUUUUUAUGUGGUGCUGAGGAUCGAACCCAGUGCCCCACGCAUGCCAGGUGAGUGUGUUACUGCUUGAGCCACAUCCCCAGCCCCGAAUCUUUUGUAUUAGUUUUUUUUUUUAAAAGAAGAAUUUUUUUGUGUGUGUUAGAGAUCGACUUGGCCCUUGUGUUGUGCAGUUAGGCAAGCUUUUUACCACUGAACUACAUUCCCAGCCCAAGGAAAAUUAAAAAAAAAAAAAAAAAAAGCUGUUAUUCAUGUUAGCUUUUCAUCUUGCUUCUAAAGGUAGGGUGGAAAACUGGAAAUAGAAAUGUCUAGGUAACAGAGCAGCCCAAAGGGAAAAGUUCUAUGUGUUUGAGAGUACUUGUUUGUACCCUUAAUGUUUGUAAACUCGAAAUUGUUAAGAGGUUGUAAAAGUUACUGGGUCUCAUGUGCAUGCUAGUUAUAAUUAUUUUACCUUGUAUAUAUAUAGCUUUUCUUAUAUAAAAGUCUUUAAGUUGGAGAAUAUUUGCUAUAUGUAUAUUUCACGAUUGUUUUUUGAUAUUUGCCUGACUUUGGCCUUUGAUUUCUUUCUUAGAAAUGACUGCUGUUCACACAGGCAACAUAAACUUCAAAUGGGACCCCAAAAGUCUAGAGAUCAGGACUUUGGCAGUUGAAAGACUAUUGGAGCCUCUUGUUACACAGGUAAGAAUCUGAAAACACAAAUACAUAGUUGUAGCAUGGUUCUAUAGCAGUAGGCUUGAGUAGACCAAGGUUAUUUCUUUCAAAGUCUUAAUAUGAUUGGUUGAAUUUAGUGUGAUAGUUUUUAUAUGAUUUGGCUCAUCUAAUAAUUGAAUAUUGAUACAGAGAUUUAUUUAAUUCGUUGGAACACAUUGCUACAAUUUUCUUGAGUCAUAUUGCCAAUAGUGGAGGCUGUUGGUAUAUAGAGCAGAUUUUUAGAUAUUGGCACUUUGAGAGAACUUCACCCUUCCUUAAAGGGGAAACUCAAGGAAGUUGUGAUAUGGAUCCUUGUUAAGGUUCCUUACUCAGCUUAAUGCCCUUUGUUUUCUUUUUUUUAAAAAAAAAUUUUUUUUAGUUGUAGAUGGACACAAUACCUUUAUUUUAUCCAUCUAUCUAUCUAUCUAUCUAUCUAUCUAUCUAUCUAUCUUUAUGUGAUGCUGAGGAUCGAACUCAGUGCCUCACACAUGCCAGACGAGUGUACUACCACUGAGCCAUAACCCUAACCCCCAGCUUAAUGCCCUUUCAUUGUGUAGGAUUAAUUAGCAGGUAAUUGAAUUUGAGGGCAUAGUUUUGGGUAUUCUGUUACAAAUACAUGUAUCAUAAUGUGAUGGCAUUUAUCAAUUGUCAGUAAUUAGCUAUGCGCUUUUAGUAUUUUGGUAUAGUUUACAUGUAUGUGUGAGAGAAUAUGAGAUAUAUCAAGUAAGUAGCAUUUGACAAUCUUUUAAAAAAAAUUCUAUUCCAACUUACAGAUGUAAACUAGUAUUUUAUAUAUCUCUAUAUAGGAGUGUAUGGUAAGAGUGGAAUAUUUACUCUCUGGACCCCGUGUACUAUAGCCGUCUUUUGUUUGGCAGAUUUACACUAUAACAAAUCAUUAAUCAUUUCAUCCUACGGAUCAUAAGGUAUUAUACAUAUUAAUACUGAUUAGUAUUCUGGGACUUAAAGCAUCAUCACAGUAGGCUUCUAUGGGUAGUCACUCUUCUUUUUAAUGACCUUUACUAAUUAAUUGCUAAGAUUUGUGAGAAUAAACUGAACAAAGACUUCAGAAGCAAAUUAUCUUAAAAAUGUUUUGUAAACAUUGAUAACAAUGACAAAAUGUGGCUUUCUGGUGAAAUUCAUUGUCAACUUAUUUAUUUAUUUAUUUGUGAUGCUGGGGAUUGAACCCAGGGUCUUGUGCAUGUUAGGCAAGCAAUCUUCGAAAUGAGCUAUAUUCCCAGCCCUCAUAUUGUUAAUCUUUCUAGAACUUCAUGGUGACAUAGAAGAGAGAUAUCUUAACUUAUUUCUUCUUUCUUUUUUUUUUUUGUUUUGCUUACAAACAAAACUUUUUUGAAAAAACACCAAAAUUGGAGAUCAAACAUAAUUACAUUAUCUUGGUAGGGUAACUAGAAAUACUGAACUUAUAAGGCUUUUGUGAGAAAACACAAAUUCAGGAAGUUGUACGUCAUUAACAGUUUCUUCUUCUAAAUGAACAACCUUCUGUGAGUUUGGCCUUUCCUCUUAUAGGCUGGUACAACAGUGUCAAACAACCUACACAAAGAACCGCUGAGCAUGGCUGAGAACUGUGGAAAUCUUGUUGCAACCUGAACAUUUUACAUACAUAAAAUAAGAAUUUGGACUUUGAACUAGUCAUUUCUUAUGUUUUUUUAUUUUCCAAGGAAGGAUUAAACAGAUCUCUAGCCAAUCAGCAGAGACAAUGAUUCAGAAGUUAAAGUUAUUUUUAAAUAAUACCAUUUUCAUCAAUAUUCCGUGUUCCCAAGUUCCUAAUUUGUAAAGUCAAAAUAUUUUUUAUUGCUGGGUAUGGUGGUGUAAGCCUCUGUUUCUAGCGACUUGGGAGGCUAAGGUUCCUUACUCAGCCUUUAAAGCCAGCCUCAGCAACUUAGUGAAGCACUUAGUAACUCAACUGUCUCUAAAUAAAACAAAAAAGGGCUGCUGGGGAUGUGGCUCAGUGGUUAAGCGCCUCUGGGUUCAAUCACUGGUACCUCUACACACACGUUUAUAUUUAUAUUUGUAUAUUAUCUUACACAUUAAGGAAGCUAAGUUAUUUUGAAACCUAAGUUUAGUAUCAUUGCUUUAUAUCUUAAAUAUGGUAAGAGUUGUUAUUUAAUGCUUACUGCAAUGUUUCCUUAUGAAUAAUUUACUGAUGCUAUCUUUUAGGUUGUUAGUCUUUCUUUUGUUUUCAUUUUAGAUGACUGCGAUUUAAUUAAUUUUUAAAAUGAAACCUUUAGGUUACAACCCUGGUAAACACCAACAGUAAGGGACCCUCUAAUAAAAAGAGAGGUCGUUCUAAGAAGGCCCACGUUUUGGCUGCAUCUGUUGAACAAGCAACUGAGAAUUUCUUGGAGAAGGGGGAUAAAAUUGCAAAGGAGAGUCAGUUUCUCAAGGAGGAGCUUGUGGCUGCUGUAGAAGAUGUUCGAAAGCAAGGUAGGUCAAUAUUUUUUUUUUAUAUAGAGGCAAGCCUUUAUAGAAAAUUGGUCGUACUCCCCCCCGCCCCCCGAAUGCAAUCCAGGACCUUGUAUAUGCUAGGUAAUAACCCUGCCACUGGGUUACAUCCCCAGGUUCUGCAAAAGCCAUCUUUGGAGGAAAUUUUGUGUGGUCAGUAGUCAGUGCUUGCUACUUAAUUAUUCAGUAACUUAUAAUAUUUAUUUGAGUUGUCUAAUUAAUUGUACAGGUGCAUAUUUUAAUCAGAAGAUAUGCUUACAUUAAAAUGUCUUUUUGGAGAGUCUGAAUCUACUUCUCUUGGGUGUUUCAAGAAUUAGUUAAGUCACAGAAAUGUUAUUGCACAAUUCUAAAGGGUAUAAAAGUGACAGAAGUUUUAUCUUUCUUCUUGUGAUACCUCUUCUUAAUUCAUAGUAAUGAUAUUGGAUAAUGUGAAACAUUUAGCUUGAUAAUAUUCAUUACUCUAAAAAUACCCUAGAAAUUUGUCCUGUACUUUCACACUAGUAUGUUAAAUCAUCUAUGCAUAUUUGUACUGGUUUGUGUUUGACAUAAAUAUAUCUGGGCAUAAAGAAAAAUAAAAUUAUGGCAUUUGCUGGCAAAUGGAUGGAACUGGAAACUAUCAUGCUAAGUGAAAUAGUCCAAUUCCAAAAAACCAAAGCUAAAUGUUCUCUCUGAUAUACAGAGGGAAGAAUAUAAAUUCAUUGGAUUAGACAAAGGGUUAGGGAGAUGGCAUAGGAAAGACAGAAGAAUGAAUCGGACGUAACUUUCCUAUGUUCAUAUUGAAUACAUGACCAGUAUAACUCCACAUCAUGUACAACCACAAGAAUGGGAAGUUAUAUCCCAUGUAUGUAUGUCAGAAUACAUUCUACUGUCAUGUACAACUAAAAAGAACAAAUAAAAAAAUUAUAUUAACUCAUUUAAAAAAAUAUCUUGGCUUACAUGAAUCAUGUUUUUGUCAACUCAAAAUUGAAUAGGUAAAAUGGUAAGUUAAUCCACACCUUACCAGUAAUUAUUAUUAGAAAAAUUAUCAUUGUUACACUGUAAAUUUGAAAAGAAGACUUUAAAUCUGGAAGAUAAUUUUUUUUUUUUUUUUUGGGUGCAGUACAGAGGGUUGGACAUAGGACCUUGCACAUGCUAAGCAAGGGCUCUGCCAUUAGCCACAUCCCCAGUCCUUUUUAUUUUACUUUGAGACUGGGUCUCAGUAAAUUGUCUUGACUGCCCUUGAACUUUCUAUCCUACUUUUAGUUUUCAUAGUAGCAAGGAUAAUAAGCAUAUACCACUAUGCCCUACUGAGGGUAAACUUAUUGAAAUCUGUAGUUCUGUGUUAGACCUGUGUUCUAGUAGGAGCAAUUCAACAAAGAUGUAAGUUUUGUAGGCCAUUGGAUAUCAGCUAAGGUGAAUUGAGCCUCUAAUAUGGACAGUGCUUUACUGGCCUUUAGGAGGACUUCACUUCUGGUACCCUAAAUAGCAAAGUACAUAGGCCACUGGAGUCUAAGUCAAAUUCAUCCUUGUGACAGUACCCAAAAGGAGGAGUAUCUUUGAUAGAGAUGACAUUUCCAGUUGUUCUGAAUUUGUGAACUAAAAACCUUAUUUGGGGGCUGGGGUUGUGGCUCAGUGGUAGAGCACUCGCCAUGCAUGUGUGAAGCCUUGGAUUUCAUACCCAGCACCACAUAAAAAUAAAUAAAUUAAAUAAAGGUAUCAUGUCUAUCUAGAACUAAAAUCUAUCUAUCUAUCUAUCUAUCUAUGUAUCUAUCUAUCUUAUUUGGUGAAUAUUUCAGUUUCAGGCUGAAGAUAAAUAUCUCUAAUACUAAAAAUAAUGAAAUUAUUAAAAUUUUUAAUAUGAGUGGGGUGGCUAUAUUAGUUUCCUAGGCCUGCCAGAAUAUAAAUUAUUAUAAAUUUGAUGGCUUAUAACAAUAGAAACUUAUUCUUCCGUAAUUCUAGAGGUAAAAAAUAUGAAAUUAGGGACUGGGGUUGUGGCUCAGAGGUAGAGCACUCGCCUUGUGCGUGUGAGAUCUGGGUUCCAUCCUCAGCACCACCUAAAAAUAAAUAAAUAAAUGUAUUGUGUCCAACUACAGCUAAAAAAUAAAUAUUUUUUUAAAAAGAGGGUGGCUGGGGUUGUGGCUCAACGGUAGAGCACUAGCCUAGUAUGUGUGAGGCCCUGGGUUCGAUCCUCAGCACCACAUAAAAAUAAAUAAAUAAAGGUAUUGUGUCCAACUAUAAAAGUAAAAUAUUAAAAAAAAAUAUGAGGGCUGGGAAUAUAGCUCAGUUGGUAGAGUGCUUGCCUUGCAUGCACAAGGCCCUAGGUUCAAUUCCCAACACUGACCCCCCCCCCCAAAAAAAAAUAUAUAUAUAUCUAUAUAUAUGAAAUUGUAGUUUUGGCAGGCUUGGUUCCUUCUUGGGGUUCAGGAAGAAUCUACUCCAUGCCUUUCUCCUGGCUUCUUUUAUAUUUUUGCAGAUUGGGAAUUGAACCCAGGGGCACUUUACCACUGUGCUACAUUUCUAGUCCUUUUUAUUUUUUUAGAUAGGGUCUUGUGAUCUUGAACUUGGUGAUUCUUCUCUCUAAACCUCCAAUCACUGGGAUUUCAGGCAUGUGCCUCCACACUGUGCUGUUCUUGCUUCUUGGGUUACUAGGAGUUGGAGAAAAGGCACUCCAAUCUCUGUUUUUUGUCACAUACCAUACUGUUUUUCUUGUGUAUCUCUGUGUCCAUAUUUCCCUUUCCUUCUAAGAGCAUCAUCAGUCAUUGAGUUAGGGCUUUCAUCCUAAUCUAGUGUGACCUCAUCUUAACUUGAUAACCAUCUGCAAAAACUCUAAUUUAAAGUUCACAUUCUAAAUAAGUUCACAUUCUAAAUAAGUUCACAUUUACAGGUUCUGGGUGGAUAUGAAUUUCUAGCCUAGUACAAGGAUUCGAAUUUGUUUUAAAGCAGUGCUUUUUAUCUUCCCUUUUGUAUUCUAGGCAAGUAUCCGGUCUGUAUCCCCAGCCCCUUAGCAGUUUAAUGUCCAGUUUAGGAACAUUUUGAGCUUUCUGCAGAGGAAAUUAAAAUGACUCUUACUUCAUUUUCCUCUAUGGAAAAGUUCUGUUCCCCAGCCCUUCUUAUAGCCUGUAGUGAAAUUCCACAGUUGUAACAGAUGUGUUUGGCCAAGUCUUCAUUGUGUCUACUGACCAAAACAUUUUAAAAAUAUAUUUAAUUGUUGCAGGUAAUAAUAUACAUAUAUUUCUUGUUUUAGAAGUAUCUCUGAUGCAAAUCAUGGUAUAAUCCACACAUUCUCCCUCAAACUGCCCCGCCCCCCUUUUGAAUGCAGAUCUGAAUUUCUCUUUGCUUGUUAUUUUUGUUUAUAUCUGUGAAAAUCUUGUAUGUGAUUCUGAAUCAUAAAGACUUGUUUUCCUGGUCCAACUUUUCAGUUACUUAUGAUCAUGGUCCUAUUCAUCAUAAUUUGUCUUUCUGCCAGGGGUUGGGGGUAGGGUAGAGAAAUACAACCAAACUAUAAUUGUCUCCCAUCAUCAUUGCAUCAGAUAGAAAAAGCUGAAGUGCUUUGCUUUUUUUGUUGGCUAAGUUUUUUCUUUGGAGAAUAUUAACAAUUGGUGAUAAACCCUGUUUUCUGUCAUUAGUAAAACAAAAUAUAUAUUAUGAAAAUGAUUAAGCACAGAUUUAAAAAAAAUCAGAUAAGACUCUGUUUUGUUGCUGAAGCUGUUUAUUCAUGUUUGGAACCCUGAAGUAGUGUUGCUAUCUAGAUUUUUUGAUGGCCUCCCUUAAAAAAGUGGAGCCUAACCUCAAACCUCAGCAGUGUUGCUUGGACUUAGUAACUCAGUUCUGUAAUGGAAUGUGGAGGAAGUGAUGUGAUCUACUUUGGAGGCAAAGUUAUAAAAAGGGAUCAUAUUUACCUGACUUUUUCUCAUGGAAUAUUCACUCUGGGGAAGGCUGGCUGCUAUGCCAGAAAACACUUAUGAGGUCCUGUAGAGAGGAGCUGAAGUAUCUGUCAGCAGUCAGCACAACUUUGUCAGUCAUGUGAGUUAACUCCCUUAGAAGUAGAUCCUCCAACUCUAAUCAAGUUUCAAAUGACAUUAACCAACCAACUUUAAAUCCCUGGCCCACAGAGAAACCCAGGAGAUAAUAAAUGUUUUAAGCUAUCAGCUUUUAUAAUAAUCGUUAGGCAGCAAACGAGAAUUAUUAUAAACACCUUUGCUGGCUUGACUUCAGUGGUUUUGAGCAUUAAUGCAAAAGCUUGACCUAACUGUAGUCAUUUUUACUAGUAUAUAAAAUAAAUGCUUAUCUAUGGAAAGUCCUAGUUGCUAAAGGAAGUGUAAGAAAAUUGUCAUUUACCAGCAAUUACUUUUGUUUAGAAUAAUGUUUGGCAAAUUUUUUUUGGUUAAGGGCCAGGGAGUCAAAUCUGUUGAAACUAUUGUUACUUCUGUCUUGGGAAAGCAGCUACGGACAAUAUAUAACAGAUGGGCAUGGUCUUGUUUUAAUAAAACAAAACUUAUUUAUAAAUACAGGAGGUGGGCUAGAGUUUUGGAGGGUGGGGGUACUGGGAAUUUAACCCAGAGGUGCUUUACCACAGAGCUACAUCCCUAAGCCUUUUGAUUUUUUUUUUUUUUUUUUUGAGACAGGCUCUCAAUAAGUUGCUGAGACUGGUCUUGAAUUUGCUAUUCUCCUGCCUCAGACUGCUGAGCUGCUAGGAUUACAGCAGUGUGCCACCAUGCCCAGCAGCGAGUUGGGCCAGAUUUGAUUUAUAGGCUGUAGUUUGCCUAACCCCUAACCUAGGUGUUUUUUUUUUUUUGAGACUAAUAAAAUUAUAAGGUUACUAUUUUAAAAGUAGUAUUUGUUCAUAAUUUAUUUAUAACACUUAUGAGCCAAAAAAUUAAGCCUUGUAUGUCUUUGGGUUUGUACACAUUCUAUGCAGUCAUAAUGAACAUCUAGAAACUUGAUUUUUACAUGGCUAACGUAAGACUAGAAAAACGCCGCACCACACGACACAGAUUACCAAAGAGGUUUCCGCUUUAUUACAAAAGGCUGUGUGUUUAUAUAGGUCUAAGAGAGGUAGCAGGGGCUGAGGUAGAUAACAGGUCGCCCGUUUAUUGGCAAGCUCUUCCAUAUGUCAGUUCCGGAGCCCAAGAAGUUAAUUCUAAUUGGGGCUAAGGCUUCCCACCAGCAGGAUUUGAACAUUGGCACCGGCGGGAACGUUUCACGCCAGUGAAAGAAACAAAGAAGAGAAGGAGGGUCGUUAGACGCCAUGCUGGGGUUUUUCUCUGGGGUGCGGCUGCCUUAUGUUUUCCCAACAUUCCUCCCUUUUUUGUUUUCUUAGAAAGUGGGGCGUCGUUGGUCAGAUCCGGCUGCUUCCUGCUGUGUUGGGGCGGCGUGGGCCUAGAAAGGGAAGUGGAGGAAUGUUCGGGGGCGGGGGGGGGGGCGCAGGNGGGGGGCAGGUCUGGGGAUAUCAUGGCAACCAGAAAUAAAACCCAGUGGCUAUAGACAGCUACUUCCGUAGGGGUGAAGUCUAUGAAAGUUCCCUGAAAUCACAAGUUGUUGAUGGCAUUGAACCAGUCCUGGAUGGAGGAGAUUGUUGGUAUCAGCCACUGGUCCUGUAACAGAGACUCUAGGAAAUAUUGAAAGCGUUGCCUUGACAUGGCGUCACCAGCACCUAAAGAAAAUCAGAGCGAACAAAAACAGGAUGAAGAUAAAAUUAAAGCAAAUGUCAGUUUUUUGGCAGAAGUUCCAUGUCGGGGGACUGACAGAGAAGAGGCCAAGGGCCAUAAGGAGGCUUAAAAGGACAUAAAGGCUUAAAAAUCCAGGAUGGCAGAUUAAGAGGUUCUCCGGGCUCAUUGUCUUCCGCUGUCCGUUGCAUUCCAUCGCGCCUGGUAGUGAGCUUCAGCAAUGAGUGAGCUGUUCUCUUGAAGAUGUUGGGGGCUCAUCGGUCAUCAGAGGCUGGUAGUACCUAAGCAGAGGCUGGCUGAAAAUUUGGUUAGAGAUCUUCCGUAAUUGGCCCUGUAGGAAGCAAAGCAGACAGGGCAGGAACAGACACAUCAGGAAAAGAAGAUGUAUGGGCCCUAAAAGAGGCAACAGCCAUGAUUGGAAGUGGGCUAAAAAGAAGGUGGCAAAUGGGUUUUGGUUUGGUGGAUUUUUCAAAGAGGUAGCCAAGUCGGUGAGCUUGACUACAUUAAUUUCCACAAGGCCUGAUUCGUUGAUGUAGUAACAGCAUUCUUCCCUCAAGAAAAGACAGGUUCCACCUUUUUCGGCUGUGAGUAAGUCUAUAGCUCGUCAAUUUUGAAGAGUAACUUGAGCCAAGGAUGUGACCUGCCUUUGUAAAGAUGCUAGAGAUUCUGCCGUAGAAGUGAGCGCUUGUUCAAGUUUAGAACUUAAGUCCUGUACAGCCCAUAAGGAGUGUCCUAGAGCUCCACCAGAAAUUCCGGCUCCCGCUACAGAUACAGCCAGUGAGAGAUCCACCAGUAUUGGAAGGGAAGCAGCCCGCUUAUUCUGCACUGGGGGAGACAAGAGGGCCUGCACUUCAGCUGGGGUAUAGAGAGUCAAUUGCGGGACAAGCGUCACCAGUAUACAUGGGGUAGAGGUGUUGGUGAAUAAGAUAGUGAUGAGAGAACCAUUACACCAGAAGAAUGAGCCAGGUGGUGCAUAGAGGGUGAAGUUAAAGGUGAUGUUAGAGUGGCAAAACUUUGACUGGGAGACACCCAAGCCCAGGAGGCAGCGCCGGGGAAUCACAGUAUGGUUAGACUCCUCGGGCUCCCAUAAUGGAGCAUCAGGUGAAAGGGUUCGGAGAGAACGGCGGGCAGAUGGAGUGGAGAAAUUUGAGAGGUCAGAAGCCNAGAAGUUCAAGGGAACCGCUGCAAGCAAAGGUCGAGUCAGAGAGGCGCAUAAGUAGCAAUCAGUUGGUGUGAUGGCGGGGAGGGUUAGAUUUAAGAAGGUUACAGUUUCAGUAAGUAGUCGUAGCCAUGAAUACUGUGGUGGACUCCCGACAUUAGGCUCAUAUGGAUCCUGUAUGGAGUCUAACAACUGCUGUUCGGAAUGCUUUAUGUCAGUAGAGAUUAUAGCUACUGAGGGCUGGGAGGGUUGAAGCUCUUGGGAGAUGGAGAUGGAGCCACAGGGGGUGGGAGAUGAUAUGUCACAGUAGAAGGAAGCAUUUACCCUAGAGGUCCAGCGUGGAUGGUUAGGGUCAGUGAUAGCCAAUUGAUAGCCUCCCGAGAUCAAUCUGAAAUUUCCAACGCAGGAACCCCCAAUGCAUGAAUGUGGGUUAUGAACGUUACAUGACCAGUAGGGGCAUCCCCCAUAGGUUUCGGGCCACCAUUUGCAGUAAUCCUCUGUCUGAUCAUAUAAGAAGCAAAGGUAAGGCCUAGUGGCUAUUUUUAAAAGUUCAGAAUUCUGGGAGGAGAGGGAAAGGAAGAUAGAUGCAUUACAUCUGGUAGGGGCGCAAUCGACUGAAGAAACUAGGUGAGUGUAACGAGGACAUAUGUCUCGUUACAUAUGCCUUGGACAUAUGUCUCUGUGACUUUGAAUCUCCAAGUAUCAUGGUGGAGUAGGGCAGGUGGGACACAAGAGGAGGAGUGACAGGAAAGUUUUAGUUGAUUAAGAAAGGCAUCCAUAGAAUAGCUCAAAGGGGCUAAGGCCUGAGGGGGCUCUAGGAGUUGCCCGAAUUUGGGUGAGGGCCAAUGGCAAAAGAUUGGGCCAGGACAGUCUGCGUUCAAUAGCAAGUUUAGUGAGAUGAUCCUUGAGAAUGCCAUUAGGCCUCUCAACCUUACCCGAGGAUUGGGGUCAGUGGGGGAUGUGGAGCCUCCAAGUGCUGUUAAGGCCUUUGGAAACUAGUUAAACAAUCCGAGAAGUGAAGGCUGGACCGUUGUCUGACUGGAUGGAGGCAGGAAGUUCAAACCUAGGAAUGAUCUGCUUAAUGAGGAUGAAGGCGACAGUGUCAGCAGUUUCCGAUGGUGUCAGCAGUUUUCCUGGAGGUAGGGAAGGCUUCUGUCCAACUGUUAGACAGUGCUAUCCCCAAAUUACAAACAGUUAAAUCCUAUGUCAAGGCCUGACCAAAGUGGUAGGGACUGUCCCUAAAGCCUUGGGGUAGGCCUGUCCAUGUCAGCUGUUGAAACCUAAAGAAUGUAAGGUCUUCCCAUGUGAAGGCAAAGAGGUAAUAAAGUCAGGAUGCAAAGGCACUGUAAAAAAGCCAGCUUUAAGGUCCAGGACAGUAAAGUGAAUGGUCAAAGGGGGAUAUGAGAAAGAAAAGCAUGAGGGUUGGAAACCGAGUGGAUGGGAAUAACUGCCUCAUUAAUUAGGUGGAGUUCCUGGACUAAGCGAUAGGCUCCGGAGGGUUUGCGCACCGGCAGUAUGGGGGUGUUGCUGGGGGAGUCAGUAGGAGUAAGGAGUCCCUGGGCCAGCAACCGGUCUAUAAUGGGUUUAAGUCCCUCCUUAUGGGUUUUGGAGAUAGGAAAUUGGGAACACAAGGAAGUUUAGUUUGGUGUUUCAGCUGGGUAUGGACUGGCUUGUGGUGGGAGGCAAUAACCAGCAUGGAGAUGUCUCAGACCUAGGGAUCAGGGGGCAAUGGCACAGUAGGUACUGUCAGGUCAUUAGAGAGGGUAAGAGUUAAAGGCCAAAGGAGAUGGGUGGUAGUAUUCUUGGGGUGUAAUUGGAGGGUGGCUCCUAAUAAUUGGAGAACAUCUCUGCCUAGGAGAGGAACUGACAGGAUGGAAUGACCAGAAUAGUGAGUGAAUGGGUGUCCCUCCAGGGCACAGGCCAGCUUUACAAUUCUGUUUGGGGAGAAGGGUUUGUUAUCAAUCCCCAUAACUGAGACCUGGGAAGGAAACAGAGGCCUAGAAUGGGCAGGCAAGACAGAAUAGGUGGCCCCCGUGUCCACAAGGAAGGUUAUGGACUUACCCGCUGCCUGGAGCAUUACCCUGGGCUCAGAGAGGGCUGAGGGGGUCUUUGAAUCUGGGCUUCUUCAGUCUUCUGCAAACCCCAAAAGUUCAGGAGAGGGGGACUGCCUGACUGGUCAUACCCCCUGCGUAGAGGCGCCAAGGAAGGACCAGCCAGAGGCAGUCAAUCUUCCAAUGUCCUGUCUGCUUACAGGUGGGGCAUGGCCUGGAAGGAGGCCGUGGGUUUGGGCAUUGGCGAGCCCAGUGACCUUCGCAUCCAUAUUUGAGGCGAGCCUCUGGUGGAGAGGAGUGCUGGUUCCCCUCUGAAACUUGCUGGAGAUGUAGGCCUCAGGGCUGCUGUUAAGGCCUGAGUUUGGGGUGUUACCUUCUUUUCUGCAAUGAAGCCUGCUUUAAAAACCAUUUUCACCAGAUCUCAGAUAGGGGUCCGAUAGUCCUCCUCAGCUCAUUUGAGCUUUUUCUGAUAUCAUGAGCCGAUUGAGUAAUGAAAUGGGUUGCUAACACUGUAGCCCUGAUGGGAGACUCAAUAUCUAGCUUAAUGUAUUUGGUUAGGGCCUCUGUAAGGCGGUUGAGAAAUAAGGAUGGAUUUUCAUCAGGGUUCUCGGUAAUGUCCUUCAGUUUAUCAAAGUUAACUACCUUAUUAGAAACUGCUUGCAUGCAGUCCCAGUUAGAUUCAGUUAUGGGACAUGCACUCGGACUAUCCCUUCAGCACCAGCUACUUCCCUGACAGAACAAAGGAACUGUGAGUUAUCUGAUAAAAGGGAUCAGUGGACCCACGUGGGCCUUCCAGGACACCAACCGGAAAUCCCUCCUCCGGAACUUCCCCAACCAACUUGAACUCUCCAGGAAUCCCCUUGAGAACUCCAAAGUAGUGGACAGCAGGGAUCUAAUAUACAAUUGAAUACACAGCUUAACAUUACCAUCAUCAUCUCAAUGGCUUGCUGGCAUCACCUCUCAAUCAUUCCCUUCUGGCCAAAUGACUCAGGCUGUGGCUCUCAGCAAUAAUUGUUUAGUAAGGAGUAAUGUAAGAAAAGAUUCUUUUCUCAAAAAUUUUUUAAAAUAUUUAUUUAUUUAUUUUUUAGUUUUAGGUGGACACAAUAUCUUUAUUUUACAUUUAUGUGGUGCUGAGCAUUGAUCCCAGUGCCUCAUGCAUGCUAGAUGAGCACUCUACCACUGAGCCACAAUCCCAGCCCCUCUCAAAAUUUAAUACAUGUUUUUUCCUAGUGCCAGAUAGAAAUGUUCAUAGGGGAGGAGAAUCUUCCUUUUUUUGUUGUUGUUGUUGGUACUGGGGAUUGAGCUCCGGGGCACUUGACCCCUGAAUCACAUCCAAAGCCCAUUUUUGUAUUUAGAGACAGAGUCUCACUGAGUUGCUUAGCACCUCAUUUUUGUUGAGCUUGGCUUUGAACUCGAGAUCCUCCUGUCUGUCUCCUGAGCUGCUGGGAUUACAGGCAUGUGCCACUGUGCCCAGCUUCCUUUGCUUUUUUAAUCAAGAUAUAAUUCACUCCUAUAUAUAAGUGUAUAUAUAUAUAUAUAUAAAAGUAUAUAUAUAAAGUACAUAUAUAAGUAUGUAUAUAAAGUAUAUAAAAUUCACUCCUAUAAAGUGUAUAGUUUAGUUUUUAGAUCUUAGAGGGUUGUAUACUAUCAUUGUUAUCUAAUUCUAGAACAUUUUUAUCACCCCUGAAAGAAAUCUUAUGCUCAUUAGAAGUCACUUUUGAUACAUAUGUAUUUUAACAGUAUCUAAAGAGUUGGAGCUUUCUUUUAGUAUCUUUUGGUGUAUUUUAUGAUCCUUGAAUAGGCCUCUGACUCUAAGAAAAGGACCCUUUGCUGAAUAGGGAACUGGAUGGAUAAGAUUUAAAUGAAACUUGUUUGGAAAGGGAGAGACACUAUAAACAGAAUCAGUGAUGUUAAAUUGGUAAUGGAAUGAUGAGGAAUAGCUUCUGUAGAGCAGGGUUUUAUAAUCCGUUGGUCACAAUUUUGCAGGUGGCUCUGAAAUUAGUAUCAGUAACUUGCUGUUCUAUCAUGACUUUUUUUCCUCCAGCUUAUAGGCAUUUGUGGGUGGAAUAAAGGGGUGAUAAUCCAAAGAAGUUGAGGUAUAUUUUAAUUUUUUUUCUCACUCACAUGUGGGAUUUUAUUAAUGUUAUGUAUUUCUACAUACACAUAAUAUGACAGAUAUCACUCCCCAUCACUUUCCCUUCCCUCCCUGAGGUACAUUUUUAUGCAAUCCCACACUGCUUUUAAUAUUUGGCUCAGUAAGGGGAUGAAUACAUGAUUGUUGCAUUGGGCAAUAGUAGAUUUCCUGGGAAGAAGCAUGUGUUGGAGGGACCAGAUGUGAAUGGGCUGGUUGAUCCUUUGUGAUUUCCUAGUGGAGACUAUGUACUAUUUUGUUCUAGAGUUUAUAAUCAGGACAUAUAGACAUGCAAAGUAAAUUAAUAACAUGAGCGAUAGAGGAAUGAGUGAGUAAGCAAGGGAUUGGAAAUCUCUCUGAAGAUUCAAACUUGUGCUGGGUCUUGAAAGGUGAAAGAAGGAAGGGGGAAAGUCAUCCAUGUAAGAAAAAUAAUGAACAUGCAAGUCAUGCCUGGGGAAUAAGAAGUCCCUGAGUGGAGCCCCACUGAUAGAAGUCAGGAGAGAAUCUGGGGCUUACAGUUGUUAUCAUAGUAGUGGAAUACCUGCUUAGUAUUUGCAAGACCCUGGGUUUGAUUCUCCCCUCCCCCCCCUUCCCCUCCAAAAAAGUCUGGAGCUAGAUUUAAUUUUAUUUUUGGAGUUAGAUUUUAGGAGGUGGCUUUGAAUACUAGGUGAAGAAGGAAUGACUAUUAGAGGAACUAUGUAGAAUCAGAGCAUUCUAUGGUUGGGACAGGUCUCACAUCUUCCCAUAUGCUCAGAUAUAUCAACAGGACUCACUACCUCAGGAAGUACCUCUUUCCAGUAUUGGUUUGUGUUUAUUUUUAAAGCUUUUUUUUUUCUUCUUAAAUUAAACUGAAAUAUGUCUCUUUAAUCUUUUUCCUGUUUAAGAAGUUCUGCCAUCUGGGUAACACAGAAUAUGAUGAAAAUGGUGUUUUGGUGGGAGACUAGUCUUUAAGCUUUGUGUAGGAAGGGUUAAAGAGAUUGAUAGGCAGUCUGGAGGCAGGACCUUAAGAGUCUGGAGAUCAUCAUAGUAGUCAGGGAAAAUGAAGCUGUAAGCCAGGAACUGCUAUACUAGGAUAUAAAGGAUAUCAAAAUUAAAUUUUUUUAUGAGUCCUUGAAUAGGCCUCUGACCCGAAGUGGCCAGUUAUCUGUCAUGCAGGUUCACUUCCAGCUUGGCUUGUGCAAAUAACCAGUCAUUUUAAUAGAUAAAACUAAGGGACUUGGUAUGUAAAAAAAAUGUAAUAAUUCAUUUUGCUGUGACUUGAGUCAUUUAAAAGUAUGUUGAGAUAGUGUGUGAUAAGAACUCAUAUGAAUUAUCUGAAGUUAGAACAUACUCUCCUCAGCUUAGCCUUAGGAUUCUGCUGUUUCAGUUUUUAGUCAAGUUAAAAUUACUUGACAGUAUUUGCUCCAGUAUUUAGUUACAUUUAUUAAAAAGUCAAUAGUUUUUAAAAAUUUUUAUUUUGAAAAUUGUAGAAUUCAUAGGAAGUUGCAAAGAUGCUACACAGAUCCAGUGUAUUCUCAACCCAGUUUUCCCCAGUGGUUACUUCUUUUUUUUUUUUUUUUUUUUUUUUUUUUGUGGUGCUGGGGAUUGAACCCAUGGCCUUGAGCAUACAAGACAAGCUGUCUACCAACUGAGCUAUAUCCCCAGCCCCGCAGUGGUUACUUCUUAUGGAACUACUAUACAGUAUCAAAACCAGGAAGCUGACUUUGGUAUAAUGUGCAAAUAUAGCUUUCUGUUCUUUUAUUAAAUAUGUAGAUUUGUAUAACAACUACAGUAAUUAAGAUACAGAACUAUUCUAUCUAUACUAAGAUCUCCUUCAUACUACCUCUUUAUAGUUCUAUAUAUACUCCUUCCCCUCUCCAAAUUUCCCUGGUAAAAAUUCUGUUCUCCUCCUGGCAUUUUAAGAAUUGACUGGGCAUGGUGGUGCAUGCCUGUAAUCCUAGCAACAUGAGAGGCUAGGCAGAAAAGUUGCAAGUUAGAGAUCAGCCUCAGAAACUUAGUGAGGGCCUAAGGACAUAGGAAGACCCUGUUUCAAAAUAAAAAAAGGGCUGGGGAUGUGGCUCAGUUUUUAAGUGACCUUGGGUCUCCCAACAAAAGUUAUAUUAACGGAAUCAUACAGUAUAAUCUUUCAGUUUUGCCCCCCUCCAUCCCCCAGCUUGGUGUCCUUGAGAGCCAUCCAACUUGGUGUAUAUAUCAACAGUUUAACUUUUUAUUGCUUGAUAGUAUUCCAUAGGAACUCCAUGCAUGGGUAUCACUUGUCUAUGGCAAAGUAAAGAUUUUCCUUAUUUUUCAUCCUCUUGACAGAACUUUUUUCCCCUGGUGGUUGAGAUUGAACCCAGGGCCUUGAGCAUGCAAGGCAAGCACUCUACCAACUGAGCUAUAUCUCCAGCCUUCAUAGUAUUUUUGUAAAGUAAAAAAUUUUAAUUUUGAUGAAGUCCAGUUUGUUGAUUUCCCCCCCCCGCCCCACCCUCCAAUUUAUGGAUCAUGUCUUCAUGUCCUUGGUGCCAUUUUUAAUAUUUUUCAUCAAGCUCUAGCUUAUGAAGGUUUUUCUUCCCUUUUAAAAGUUUUAUAGUUUUUCAUUUUACAUUUAAGUUUAUGAUUCAUAAGUUUUAUGUAAGGUGUGGGGUUUAGGUCAUUCUUUUUUACCUGUGGAUAUCUAGUUGUUCGAGUAUUAUUUGUUGAAGAGACUAUUUUUUUUUCUCCAUUGAAUUGCUUUUUUAUCUUUGUUAAAAAUAAAUUGAUCAUACUAGUGUAGAGUUGUAUCUUGUUUUUCUAUUUUGUUUCAUUGUUCUAUGUAUAUCUUUUUUCCCUCUGCCAAUACCACACAGUCUUGAUUGCUGUCACUAUAUAAAAGUUUUAGAAUUGGGUAGAAUGAUUCUUUCUAGUUAAUUCUUUUUCUGCAUUAUUUUAGCAAUUCUAGUUUGUUUGCUUUUCCAUAUAAAUAUUAGAAUAAUUUUAUCUAUAUCCACAAGAAGUAUGGAAUUUUGAUAGGAAUUACAUUAAAUUUGUAUAUCAAUUUGGGGAGAAUUGACCUUUUUUUCUAUGAAGUCUGUCACAUUUUACACACACACACACACACACACUCAGGCUAGCAUUCCCAAAGUUUCCAUAGGGUCCUAGUUUUUAGGCAUUAAAAGUAUAUUCCUAAAUUACUCUCUAGUAAGGUUUUAUCUUUAGUUUGCUAAUGUUCAUAUAACCUCACCAAUUAACCAAUUACAAGUUAUAGAAAUUCCUGUCAAACUUGUUUGAGACAAGAGGGUGUUUAUGGACUUAUAAUUGGGAAUUCAAGGAGUAACUUUGAGUCAAAGGAUGUGGGACUUUCUUAACCACAAGUCUCAGUUUUGGCUUGUCUCCUUCCUUCCUCCUUCUCUCCCUCCCAGGGGCACUGUACCACUGAACUACAUCUUAUUUUUUAAAUUUGAGACAGGGUUUUACUAAGUUGCCAGGCUCACCUUGAACUUGUGCUCCUCCUGUCUAAGCCUGCUUAGUCACUUGGGAUCAUAGGAAUGUACCACCACACCUGGCUACCUUUUUGCUUAUAUGCUGUAUGCAUAUUGGACAGUAUGUCUACCACUGAUUAGAGAUGAUCAUGCUUGUUAUAUCAUCUCUGCAGAAAAAGAACUUUUCUUCCUCAGUGUCUUUAAGUGCCUCUGUUUGGGUCAUGCUCAGCCCUAAAUAGGUUUCUGAUGCCAGAGGAGACUGAUUAGCCAGUUUAUGUCACAUGUUUACCCUAGGCGCAAGGAAUCGGGAAGACUUCUCCAAAGGAAGAAGAGGUAUAAUAAAGUGAUGUUGUGUAGAAUUUUUUUUCUUGAUGAUGCUGGAAUAGUCCCAUUAAUAAAUUUUUUCUCCCUCUUUUUGUGUCUUUAAAGAAACUUUGUAUCAUUGGGGGCAAGUGUGUGGUUCAGUGGUAGAGUGUUUGUCUAACACGUAUUGGAUCCUGGGUUUGAUACUCCAGCACUCUUAAGGAGAGAGAAAAAAAAAAAGCAUGAUGGUGCUAAUGGAUUUUGAACAUUUUUUUGUUUGGUAAUAUAUCUGAAACAUAAUGUGUGUGAGAAUGCCUAAGGUAGUGAUAGGUAUCUAUAAACACGACUUUUCCUUUGUUGAUUUGUUGAAGCCCUGUUAUUUUUGUUGUUGAUUGGAAUUCUGUCAGGUUUUAAAAAAAAAUUGAAACAUGUCUCCUUGGGCGGGAGAUGCUGAUCUUUUAGAUUUCCCCCUUUCACUCUUUUGGCAUAGCAAAAGUGGAAUUAUCUUGGAGUAAAAAAAAUCAAGACAUAUUGCUUAUGUCUAUGAUUUUUUUAUUUUUGAAAUUUUGUGGUUCUGGGGAUUGAACACACUCUACCACUGAGCUACAUCCUCAGCCCCUUUUAUUUUAAUACAGGUUCUCACUAAGUUGCUCAGGCUGGCCUUUAACUCGUGAUCCUCCUAUCUCAACCUCCCGAGGCACUGGGAUUAUAGACUUGUGUCACUGUGCCGUGUACUUUUAAAAGUAAAAAUCUUAAAAACUACAGAAAUACCCAUCAUUUAAAACUCAUGGUCUCUUAGGACGCUGAUAUAAAGAAAGGUUGGGGAAUUAGUUUUUUUUUUUUUUUUUUUGGUCUUGGUACUGGCAAUUGAACCCAGGAGCGCUUAACCACUGAGCCAUAUCCCCAGCCCUUUUUAAUAUUUUAUUUAGAGACAGCUAAAUUGCUGAGACCGGCUUUGAACUCACUAUCCUCCUCUUCUAGCCUCCCAAGCCACUGGGAUUACAGGUGUGUGCCUUUGUGCCUGGCUGGAAUGAAGGUUUUUAUUGAUACUGAUACUUUUCUUAUUUUUAUUUUUUUGCAGUACUGGGGAUUGAACCCAGGACCUUGCAUCCCCAGCCCUUUUAAAUUUUUUUUUUUUUUUAAAUUUUUUAAAUCUUGAAACACUGUAUCACUAAAUUGCCUGGGUUGGCCUCCAAACUUGCAAUCCUGCUGCAGUCUUAUGAUUUGCUGGGAUUACAGGUUUGUACCACUGCUCCCAGUGACAUAUUUUUACUUCUCUUAGCAAUGGUGUGGUGUGGUUGAGAACAUAACUGCAAUCUUCUUUGAUAUAGCUUGAGUGACUUGUAUAUGGGGGAGGGGAGAGAGUAUGUGUGUUUGUGUGUGUGUUUACAUUGUGAAUUUUGUAAAGGCAUUUUUUUAUUUUUAAAAUUUAUUUAUUUAUAAGAGUUUUAUAGUUAUACAUAAUGGUUUGGUUCAACCCAACAAACUCAUACAUGCAUGGAAAUCGAUUUCAGUUCAUGAUCCCCCUUGUAAAGGCAUUUUUAAGGAAAAAUUAUGUAUAUAUUCCCUGACAAAAAGGAUAUUCACUAUAGGCUGCCCAGCUCUUGAUGUAUAAUUUUUUCCCCUGGCAACUGACUGAAGUCAGAUUGAAGAAAGUGAAAAUUGGUCUCCUGUCCAGUGCAAAUGUUGAAAACUUCAGACUGAUGUACCCACAUCUAAUAUUGGCAGCCUGGAAGAUAGAUGUUAAAAGGCAGAUAUGAUUUGGACAAAGCAACUGUCAGUGACUGCCUUGAGUGGGAUUUGAGAGGUAGACAGGAGGCACAGUAGAGUCUCAGUUUGCUGAGUUCAUAAUGUAAAGAUUUAAAGCAUAGCUAUGAGGAGCUUUGUGUGGGUGUGUGAGAGAUUGCAUUUUAAUUCAUGUAGUCCAGUUAGUGUGGUUUUAGGUUUAAACCAUGAGCUUGAUCUUACAUAUGGCUCUUUAAUUUUUCACAGAAGAAAAAUGACAAAUAUUUCUCCUUUGGAAUGCUGAGUAUGGUUUUCAAAACGUGUUAAUGAUGCUCUGGAAGAGCAAUAGCGGAGGAACAUUUAACAUUUUGAAGAUUAAAGUUAAUUAGGUUUUUAGAUUAGUAUAAUAACUUUCUUCAUUAAAUCUAAUAAGAAAUUAGCUGAUUUUUCUCAUAUUCUUGCCUUGAGUUUUGGCUUCUCAUUUGUUAUCCUCCCUUUUCUUUCCCCUUGCCUUCUGGGUAGGAUUUUCAUCCAGUUUUCUCCUCUUACUUUUCACAAAGUCUCUUUUCAUGUGAUCCCUUAUGGCUGGCUGGGUCUAUUGUUAGAAGUGCUUCCACUCCAUUUUUUUUUUUUGGUACCAGGGAUUGAACCCAGGGGCGCUUAACCACUGAGCCACAUCUCCAGCCCUCCACUCCAGUUUUUACCUUUUGUGUGUUUCUCAGGACUGUGAUUAAUUUAAAAAAAUUGGUUCAUUAUUGAUCCCCCUUACCUCUAGUCUCACCAUUUAAUCCAUUUUCUCUUGUUCCUUAUUUAACUUGAGCAAGAAAAGCAAAAUAUAAAUUCUGGAAAAAUCAUUAACUGGUUGUCAUCUGGGAGUUUUAUAUCUUAAAAUUGUCUGUCUAACUUAAAACUCAAGUUUCCAGGGUGGAGGCUAUAUUUUUUUUUUUUUUGACUUGUGAUGUGUCAAGGAUGCUGUCUGCUUCUGGAUCACUACCCUUGUGUGAGCAUAUGCUGCUUUGCAGAGAUUCGAGGUCUGCUAUAGCCAACUUGGAAGUGAGGAAAGAAGAGUGAAGUUAUUAAAUUCUAAUGUUUCCUGUCAUUUUGAAAUUUCUCCUCUUUUGUUUUUUUAAAAAAUUAUCUUGUUAAAUUCACAAAGAAAACUCAGAUGAUACUUUUAAGUUACAGUAGGUAAUAUUACUGCCUUAAUAUAUUUAUACAAUGUAGCUGAGGAAGUUAUCUUAGGUAUAAAAAUUUUGGCUUUGGCAAGACUUGAGUCAUGGUGUUGCAGUAACUUGGUUUCUUCUAGUUAAUUUCUUAAGAAAGUGAUUCCAAGUUGAAAUGCAUGUUAUGCAUUUAUUUGAAUAUGUAAUCAGGAAGCAAGUGCCUCUCUUUGGAGUGUUUCUGAAUAGCAGCAGGGUGCACUUGAAUUAGUAAGGAAAAUGAGAACAUGAAUAUGUGUGAUACUCUAUUUUAACUUAAAAAGAAAAAAAGUUCAUUCUGUCUGUCCAUCCCAGGAUGGAAAGGCGGAUAUGUUGGGAGGUUUUCUAGGCUAUACUGAUGUAUAUUUAAAUAACUUGAUGCUACAUGUUUAUUUCUUGGAUUGACUUUCAAAGAUAAAUAGUUUUGUGGAUUAAAAAAGACAUUAUCAUCCCAGAAAGUUCUUUUAAAGUAUCUGUCAGAAAUUCUUUGAAUCAUUGUCUGUUUUUAUUUGAAUCAUUGUCUUUUUUUUUUUUUUUUUUUUGUAACUAAGGUAUAUUAUCUAAGGGCCUGAGGUUUUUGCCAAAUAUUCUCCAAUAAAUAAUGAAAGGGUAAAGAUGGAGACAAUUGUUGUAUUUAGGUUCGUCCUCAUAUCACUAUGGGUUAUGCCAGAUAUACACCAUCAUUUGUUUUCUUCCCAUAAGGGUUGUGUUAUGAAGUCUGUUAUUCUUUGUAACCAUAUUGCUAGUUUAUCUUCAUUGACAAGUAUGGAAAAUGUCUUCAGGCUGGUAAUGGUCUUGUAGGCUCAAGUGUUCCCUUGUCUUGGCCUCCUGAGUAGCUGAGAAAACAGGGACUAUAGACCUGUACCAUCAUAUCCAGCUGUAUUAACUUUUUUUGGUACUGGGGAUUGAACUCAAAGGUGCUUUACCACCGAGCCACAUCCUCAGUUACACCCCCAAACCCCUUUAAAAAAAAAUUUGUGACAGGGCCUCACUAAGUUGCUUAGAGCCUUGCUAGUUUCUGAGGCUGUCCUCAAACUUGUGAUCCUCCUGCCUCAGCUCCUGAGUUGCUGUGAUUACAGGUGUGCACCACUGCACCUGACUAUAUUAACUUGAUUAUCUUGAAAUUGGCAACUAAUCUUGUGAAUUCUAGGUUCUGUCAUUUUUAUUAUUUGGUAAAAUGAGAGUUGGUGGAAUGAUAACAAAGAGAUAAAAAUGGUUAUGUCACUUCUUGGUGAGACCCCUUGAUCAGAUGUGUUUAAGAGUAUUUGGCAUAAAGUAGGUUUAUCAGUGUAACUAAAGCACUAAAAAGUAAUUUUUAAAAAUUUAAUUGAUUUUUUUAAAAAAAUACACAACAGUGGAAUGCAUUACAAUUCUUAUAAAAAGUAAUUUUUUGAAAAUUUUAUUUUUGGUACCAGGGAUUGAACCCAGCGGUCCUUGACCACUGAACCAUAUCCCUAGCCCCCCUGCCCCUCUUUUUUAAAUUUUGAGGCAGAGUCUUGCUGAGUUACUUAGGGCCUCACAAGUAGCUGAGGCUGGCCUUGAACUUGCAAUCCUCGUGCCCCAGCCUCUCAAGUCACUAGAAUUACAGGUAUAUGCCACCAUGCCCCCACCUCACUUUUCAAAUACUUAAGAAAUAUGAUAUAUAGAGUAUGACAAAUAAAUAUAAUGAUAGUCUUUUACAUUAGAAAAUUGAAGGCUUCCGUUAUUAAUGAAUAUGAGCUAUUGGAGAAGGAAAAAUAUUUUUUCUUUUUAAAAUUUUUUAAAUUUUAAUUAGAUAUAUAUGACAGCACAAUGUGUUUUGAUUCAUUGUACACAGUUGCAGCACAACUUUUUAUUUCUCUGAUUAUACACGAUGUAGCAUAGCACUGUAUGUGCAGUCAUAUAUGUACCUAGGAUAGUAAUGUCCAUCAUACAUCCAUUAUUCCAUAUUUUCUGCCUCCAUAUUUCCUCCCCUUCCUUCCCUCCCCUUUACCCCAUCACAAAGUUCCUCUAUUUUUCCCAUGUCCUCCCCCAUUAUGGAUCAGCAUCCACUUAUCAGAGAGAACAUUCAGCCUUUGGUUUUUUGGGAUUGGCUUAAUUUCUUUAGCAUGAUAUUCUCUAACUCCAUCCUUUACCUGCAAAUGCCAUAAUUUUAUUCUCUUUUAAUGCUGAGUAAUAUUCCAUUGUGUGUGUGUGUGUGUGUGUACACACACACACACACACACACACAAUUAGUUUCUUUAUCCAUUCAUCUAUUGAAGGCAUCUAGUAUGAAUUGAGCUGCUAUAAACAUUGAUGUGGCUGCAUUGUAUAGUAUGCUGAUUUUAAAUCCUUUGGAUAUACACUAAGGAUUGAGAUAGCUGGGUCAAAUUGUGGUUCCAUCCCAGGUUUUCUAAGGAAUUUCCAAACUGCUUUCCAUAGUGGUUGCACCAAUUUGCAGUCCCACCAACAAUGUAUGAGUGUGCCUUUUCCCCUACAUCCUUGCCAACACUUACUUACUGUUGUCUGUAUUCUUGAUAACUGCCAUUCUGGCUGGAGUGAGAUGAAAUCUUUUUAAAAAUUUUUUUAUUUAAUAUUUAUUUUUUAGUGCAGUUGGACACAAUACCUUUAUUUUAUUUAUUUUUAUGUGGUGCUGAGGAUUGAACCCAGGGCCUCACACAUGCUAGGCGAGCGCUCUACCCCUGAGCUGCAACCCAGCCCCAGAGAUGAAAUCUUAGAGUAGUUUUGAUUUGCAUUUCUCUAAUUAGAGAUGUCAAACAUUUUUUCAUAUAUUUGUUGAUCAAUUGUAUAUCUUCUGAGAAGUGUCUGUUCAGCUUCUUAGCCCAUUGAGUUGUUUGUUUUUUUGGUGUAAAGUUUUUUGAGUUCUUUAUAUAUCCUGGAAUUAGUGCUGUAUCUGAUGCGUGUGGCAAAAAUUUGCUCCCAAAAUGUAGGCUCUCUCUUCAUCUCAUUGAUUGUUUCUUUUGCUGAGAAGCGACAUUGUAGUUUGAAUCCAUCCCAUUUAUUAAUUCUGAUUUUAUUUCUUGUGCUUUAAAAGUCUUUUUAAAGAAGUGGGGGCCUAAUCUGACGUGAUGAAGAUUUGGGCCUACUUUUUCCUCUAUUAGACACAGGGUCUCUGGUCUAAUUACUAGGUCCUUGAUCUAGUGCAUGGAGGGACAGAGGUUUAGUUUCAUUUUGCUGCAUAUGAAUUUCCAGUUCUUCCAGCACCAUUUGUUGAAGAGACUAUUUUCUCUCUAAUGUAUGUUUUUGGUUCCUUUGUUUAGAAUGAGAUAACUGUAUUUAUGUGGGUUUGUCUCUGUCUUCUGUUUUGUACCAUUGGUCUACAUGUCUAUUUUGGUGCCAAUAGAAAAAGAUUUGAGAGAAUUAAAAUCAUUUUCAGUUACAGAGAACAAAAUAACUCAAGCAAAGGUCAUCUCAAAUCAGUGGGAGGAAGGAAUCAGAAUUCCUCUUAUAGCCAUGAAUCUGAUCCUGAGAUGAAUAAUUUGAACACAUUUAAGAUGGUUGAUAGAUCGCAAAUUCUUCACCUGAAAGGUUUUGUUAUUUUAACACAGGACUGUUUUUGCUGGUUUUAAAAUAAACAUUCAGUUGGAUGUCUUAAAAUAUCUUUUCUCUGUUGGUAGUUGUUAAUAAACAAUAUUUUCUCAAAAAAUGUUCUUUUUGCUGGGUACACUGGCACACACCUAUAUUCCCAAAGGCUCAGGAGGCUGAGGCAGGAGGAUUGCAAAUUCAAAGCCAGCCUCAGCAACUUAUUGUGACCCCAUUUCAAAAGAAAAAAUUAAAAGCACUGGGGAUAUGGCUCAUUGGUUAAGAGCCCUUGGGUUCACCCCCCCCCCCCCCAAAAAAAAAAAAAAAGCUGGGGAUGUAGCUCAGUGGCAGAGUGCCCUUGGUUUCCAUCCUCAGUAUGGGUAAAUAAAUAAAUUAAUAAGUAAAUGGGGUAGAAGGGCUGAGGGAGAGGUAAAGGCCUUCCUCAAGUCUCUCUGCAGUAGCUGUAAACAGAAAAUAAAAGUGAUGAGAUUGGGGCUGCAAAUACCUACAAUAACUCAUAUUUUAGAUAAGUCUCUCAAGAUGACUGAUUUUUAUAAAGUUUUUGAAAAACAUUUGGUAAUGUAUGCUUUACAUUUUGGAAGUUAACUAGCAUCGUUUAUACCUUAGAAAACAGAUUUCAAAACCUGAAUAUUAUGCAUUGUACACAUGAAACAUACUUUUAACUUUGUUAUCAUUUAAAAACUUUUUUCUUUAGAAGUAUAUUCAUUAUAGGAAGUUAAGAAAAUAAUUACAUAUCAGGCCAUACGUACUACCUUGUGAUAAAUUGUCAAUAUUUUGAUGUAUGUUGGUUGUGGUCUGUUCCAUGACUUGCUUUUGUCAUAAACACAUUAUGAUCUCUGUUUUCACUGUAUAACAUUGAUUGUUUUAUAUUUGCUAUUUAAAGUGGAAAUGAACAAAACUUUUCACUAAUAAAGUCAUCUGGUCUGGGAAGUUCGUGUAAUUUAUAGAAGAUAAGCCAUAUUCCUCUACUAAGCUGAAAAAUUCAUGUUUCUUUCUGGAUGUUAGAGUUGGUAUGUGGCUAAUGACCAUGUUCUGAAUAGGUUUAAGAAUUGAAAAAAAGUAGAUGAGAAAGUGAAGGGGGCAUGGAAGUAUUUGUUUACAUAUAUUAUCUCAUUUUAAUUUUCAAACCAAUUCAGAUGGGGAGAUGGUAUUUCUAUUUUGAAAAAAAGACAAAUAGUCGAGAUGAAUCAACCCAAAGUCACACAGCCAUCAAAUAGUGAAGGUGGGAUUCAGAUCAAUUCUAAAACCUUGUUUUAUCUAUGCCAGGUAAUGUUCUGGAAGAAAGGUAAUACAUACUCAUUAACUUACCCUUGUAACAUUCUUUAUUUUAAAGGAGCAACAUGAUAGAAUAUGUCACAUCUUUUAGGCUCAAGUUAAAAACAAAAACUGUAGCCUUUUUUAAUGUUCUCUUUUUCUGUCUUUCGUUCCCCUCUCGUUCCCGCAUGUACGUGUCCCCACUCCCCCCAAUUCAAGCCUGUCUUUUCAAGGGGGAUUUAGUUAAGAUAUUUGAUGCUUCAGAAAGGCCUUGAACUUGUCCUGUUCCAAUAAAUAACUUUGGGGGAUUUUUUUUUGGUUUUCUUCCUUUGCAAUUAGUCUUUGUUAUUGUUUUGAACUCCAGAAGAGUUUAAAUUUUAUCCCCAGUUUAGGAGAAAACAGCAGGGGGUGAUAGAUCUGAUUUCAUGGCAGAUGGUAGUGGGUUCUCUUAAAUUUAAUCUCCUUUAUAUCUUAGGAGAUUAUAUCUUAGUUAAUAUGUAGUUGACUGGUGGCAAUUGGGACAAAGCCAGAAGACCUAACUAUGUCCUAAGCUUUUACUGCUUGCAUGAGAGCCUGGACAGAUCUCCUCUUUGUUUUAGUUUGCUAGUUUACCCUUUUGUGUGAAGAGAGCUUUUGAACUCCUAGAAAUGUGCUAAGGCUAAUCUUUUAAAAAUUUUUUGAUUUAUUUUUGCAUUUGAUUUUGUAAAAAUACUUUUAAAAGAAAUCUCAUCCAUGUUAUUGUCGUGUUCUUAUUUUUAUUAUUUUUUUAGUUGUAGAUGGACAUAUUAUCUUAAUUAUUAUUAUUAUUAUUAUUUAAUGUGGUGCUGGGGAUUGAACCCAGUGCCUUACACAUGCGAAGCAGGUGCUCUACCACUGAGCUACAGCCCCAGCCCCUUGUCAUGUUCUUUUUACAGGGAUUACCAUUGAGCAAAAGAAUGAAGAUCUUGUUCUUAGCUAUGGGCUUACUUACAUGUUUGUCCAUAGUUUUGUGAAUAGGGAAAAUUUGGAUAUUUUAAUUCAUAAUUUAGUGUGCUUUUUUAAAAAACAGAUUAUUUUUUUAGUUGUAGGUAGACACAAUACCUUUAUUUUAUUUUUGUGUGAUGCUGAGGAUCGAACCCAGUGCCUCACUAUGCUAGGCAAGCGCUCUACCUCUGAUCUACAACCCCAGCCCCCUAGCGUGCUUUUUUAAAAGUAUUUUAAAAGUAUUUUAACAUUUUUUAAAAAUGUAUUUUUCAUUAUUAAUAUGUUAGCUAAACAGUUUAAGAACUUGCCAAUGUGCCUUUGAGCUGAAAGAAUAGGUUGGAUGUAAAUGUUUUUUUCACUAGUACUAGCCAUUGAACCAGAGACCCUCUAUCCCAGCCCUUUUUAUUUUAUUUGAGAUAAAGAGUCUGGGGUUCUCCUGCAUUAGCCUCCCAAGUCUUUGGGAUUAUAGGCGUGCACCACUAUGCCUGGCUAAUGUGUUUAGUUUACCUGGCUUCUUCCUUCCAGUUUCAGUUGUUUGCUGUCAUUGAUCUGUUGUUAUUUUGGAACCAUAUCAUGGUAGCUGAAGAAUGAACUGGGUUAAGAGUUACAACUUAGAGGAAGGAGGAGGUUAUGAUGAAAAGAAAAGAGUUGGUGAAAAAUUUGAGAGUCAGCAUGUCAAGGUUAUGUGAUUGUUAAAAUUGCCAGGUUUCAUUUGUUCAUUUAAAUGUAACCUAGUCUUUGAAGAGUUUUGAUUCAUUUAGAUGGACUGUAGAUUUAACAGUCUUUUUAAAAUUCAUUCUGGGGGCUGGGGUUGUGGCUCAGUGGUAGAGCACUCGCCUAGCACACGUGAGGCUCUGAGUUCGAUCCUCAGCACCACAUAAAAAUAAAUAAAUAAAACAAAGGUAUGGUGUUGAACAUAACUAAAAAAUAAAUAUUAAAAAAUAAAUAAAAUUCAUUCUGUUUGGCCUAAUUUGAGCCCUUACCUGUGUCUUCUAAUUCUUUCAUUCACUUGAAGUUUACUCCCUUUUUUAUCUCCAUCCUGCUCAGAUUUUAACAGAGAACCAGAGGAACUUCUGAAAAAACUGGGAUUUUUCAACAUUAUCAAACUUCAUACUGUUUAGAAGCCUCUUGCUAUUUUGCAUUUACUUUUCAUUUGAGGGUCCUGGAACUGCCAUUUAUUCCACUUGGCCCUUACCUCCUCCUGUGGUCCUGAUUGUGUGUGCUUCUGUCUUUGGCCCAGAAUAUUCAUUCUUCAGUUGGGCACUAUGAGUCUCCUUUUGUCUCUCCCCACUCUUAAUAUUUGUUAUUAAUUCCAGUUGUGAUAAUAAAAAGUAUGGCAGUGGUAGGCACUGCUCUCUGCACUCUGCUGAGUACUUUGUGUGUCCUAGAGCAUUUGGUUUCAUCUCCGCAGCCCUGGAAAGUGGGCACAGGCAGUUCUGGCUUUGCAAGGUUCUGAUGUGCGCACAUUUUCAGUUACCAACAUUUAGUUAAAUACCACCAGUCCCCCAAUAGUUCAAAAUUUAGUUACCACAGUAUACUAAUUAACAGUGAAGAUUUGCAUAAAGUAAGUACUAACCUUGCUGUUAGCUCUGAAGUAUACAUAUUGCCACAUAAAUAACUGAUUCACAUUAUGGUCAGUGACCAAUUAUGUCACUCUUUCCAGUUUGUUGAUUGUUCAUUGUGCAUCUUUUUUUUUUUUUUUUUUUUUAAAGAGAGAGUGAAAGAGGGAGAGAGAGAGAGAGAGAACUUUUUUUUUAAUAUUUAUUUUUUAGUUUCCGGCGGACACAACAUUUUUGUUUGUAUGUGGUGCUGAGAAUGGAACCCAGGCCGCACGCAUGCCAGGCGAGCUCGCUACCGCUUGAGCCACAUCCCCAGCCCUUCAUUGUGCAUCUUAUCAGUUUAUGUAGAGUGUGUAGUUGUGUUGUCCUUCCCUUCCAGUAAUAAACCCACUAGAACCAUUUUACAAAAGUAGAGAAUUAAAAGAGGAAAUUAACGAACAAAAAAAUGGAUGCUCAGGCAAAGAAAUGAAAAAUGAUAAAUUGAAUAGAAGAAAAAUGGAGGAAAUAGCCAACCUCAGUAAUGUUUAUUCUGUUGCUGUUUAAAAUCCUAGGUAAGUGCCAAAGGAAUUUGCUGAAGGAACAUUCCUUCACUUAUGUGAGGAAAGUGAUUGUGAUGAAAAGGAAGAUGAUGUUCAAGAGAAAAUGAUGUCAUAAAAAAAUGUCAUGUUAAAGGAACUCUUGUAGAUAAUUUAUGAACUUGAAAAUGAAAAGAUUAAGAGCUGGAUAUGGUAGUGGGAUAUAUAUACAGAUGUAAUCCCAGUGACUGAGGAGGUUGAGGCAGGAGUAUUGCAAAUUUGAGGACUGUUUUGGCAAUUUAGCAAGAUCCUGUCUCAAAAUAAAAAUGGACUGGAUAUGUGGCAAGCAAGCAUUGUUAAUACUACUUUUGAGAGCUUUUUUUGUUGUUGUUGUCAUUGUUAACAGAAAGUUUUUAGCCUUAACCUUAACAACAACAAUAACAAAUUCUCAGUGUACUGUAAAGUUUAACAUAGUUUAUUGAAUAUGUAUAUGUUUGUAAUAAUAAAGGAGUUUUUAAUAUGUUGACAAAAAAUUUUAAUGGUUACAGCACAAUCAUAAUUUUUCCAUUGAUGAUUAAGAUCACUUUGCACUGUUUCAGCCUGUCUGAAUAUUUUUAUAGUCUUGUGCUACUAACAAAGAUUAUUAAUGUUAUUAUUUCUGUUUUACAACUGUGUAAACCACCACCUAUUUAGUGGUAAAAAAAAACUAUAGUUUCUGACCCUUAAAGGUGACCUUUGAACAGAAGAAUACUCAUAAAACAAAUUGAAGACCUUUUCUCUGAUUUUUGAUUUUGUUUUACCUAAUAAUACUAAUUUUAAAAAUAUAUACCAAAUAUAUACCCUAUGUUGUCUCUCAUGGUACAAAGUAGUGAAUUAGACAUUUUAAAAUUAUUAUUAUUAUUUUGAUGCUGGGAAUUGAACCCAGGACCUCACUAGUCAAGAGCUCUAUUAUCAAGCUACAUAGCUACAUCCCCAAUCUCUCAUAUUAUUUUAAUAGAUGCUCACAGUGGGGUAUUCUUGACAUUUUAGAGAGGAAACAGGCGUAUAGAGUCCAGUUGUGUAGCUGGUAAAUGAAAAAAACAAAAUCUAGGCCUUCAGCUCCAAGACCUGUACUCAUUCAUGUUAUUACAUUUGAUGUUCCCCCCCUUGUUAAUAUCAUAAUUCACAUACCAUAAAAUUUACCCCUUAUAAAGUAUGUAAGUGAUUAGUUCUUAGUACAUUCACAAGGUGUAUAGCUGUCACCCCUGUGUAAUCUGACAUUUUCAUCAACUCAGAGAAAAAUCCUGUUGUAUCUAUUAACAUUAAGUUCUGAUACUCCUACCCCAUUACCCUGCCCGCAACCACUAAUAUAUCUACUUUUUGUCUCUAGAUUUGCCUGUUGUAGAAAUUUCAUACAAAUGGAAUGGUACAAUUUGUGGCUUUUUGUGACAGACUUCUUUAACUUUAUGUGAUUUUUAUUUUCUUUCUAUUUUAAAGGCACUGAAGAGGUUUAUUUAGCAAAGUAGAUACACAUUCAAGGAAGAAUUGAGGCAAUCAAAAGAGAUUUACCCCACUGGGUAAUGUACCAGUACUUUGGUAAUGAAGCAGCACUUUGUUACUUUUUAUUGUUAUAUAUAGGGAUAUAUUACAAUUUGUUUAGCCAUUCAUUAAUUGAUGGGUGUUUGGCUUUUUAACUAUUAUGACUAAAGCUGCCAUGAGCCUUCAUGUAUACAUUUUGAGGUAUAAUAAUUAUACUUAGGUAUAAUAAUAUUAUAUAUAUUAUGUAUAAUAUAUAUAAUUAUUAUACUUAGGUAUAAUAUUAUACUUGAUGCUAGCCUGGGCAACACAGUAAGACUUCACCUCCAAAAAACAAAAACAAAAACAAGUUAGUGAUUUUUCUCAACUAAGCCUUCCAGGUAGCUGCAGUUGUAGGCAUUUGCCACUGUAACUACACACCUUCCCCCACCCCUUCUCCUUUUUAAUUUCUCUCAAUUUAUAUGCUGUCAUUCAGCUCUUGCUUGUCCCCUUCUCACUUUUAAGACAACCCUAGCUUGGAAUCUUUAAUUUUUGUUGGUUUCUUCUUAAUACUUUAUAAUCAAAAGUUAAUAGAUCUUUUGACCCCUGCCUUUAAAAUUUUCUAUUACUCUUUCCUAGGUCACCACUGCAGCUUUCUGAUGCCUCUUUCUGGUCAGGUUUAUUGUAUGUAAGAUUAGGUUAAUUUUCUCCUUCCAUGAGUUUGACUUCCUCUAGCUCAAGGAUUCUUUAUUGAAUUCUGUUUGUCCAUGGCCUUUCUAUCCAUUACUUCUUUCUCUCCUGUAUACAGCCCUCACUUUUCAGUUAGAUUAAAGAAUUCAGGUUCCAAUUGUAUCUUAUUGUGUUCCUCAGCUUGGAUCUAAGAAUGUUAGUAUUGACAUUGCAAAUCCUGGUCUAUGAUUCACUAGUUUGGUGACAGGGAUUAAGUUAUUUGACCUGUGUAAGCAUUAGUUGCCUUUGUGUGUGUGUGUGUGUGUGUGUGUGUGUGUGUGUGUGUGUGUUGCUGGGGAUUGAACCCUGGACCUUUUGCAUGCAAGGCAAGCACUCUACCAACUGAGCUAUAUCCCCAGCCCUAGUUGCCUCAUUCUUAAAAAGGGCUAAUGCCACCUACUUUCUGUAUGAUUGAUAAAAUUAAUUUAAUGUUGCACAUUAUUAUGUUCAUUCUACUUGAAGUGGUAACUCUUAAUUCUCCUGCCAAAAUCCUUCCUAUCUUUUGCAAGUUGGGUCCAGUUCAGAAUACCUUCCAUGUACCUGUUAACAUUUUACUUCUUCACCAAACUGGUUGUUAGUGCUUCCUUCUUUGAUAUCUCAUAGAACCCUAUGAAAGCAUGGGCUGUUUGUUGUGGACAUACUGCUAGUCCCUAAUAUAGUCCUUGAUGUGUGGUGGGUGUUCAUAUUUGUUGAAUAAAUAAAUCUUUUUUUGUGGGGGGGGGGCACCAGGGAUUGAAUUCAGGGGCAUUCAACCACUGAACCACAUCCCUAGCCUUAUUUUGUAUUUUAUUUAAAGACAGGGUCUCACUGAGCGGCUUAAGGCCUUUUACUGAGGCUGGCUUUGAACUCGUGAUCCUCCUGCCUCAUCCUCCCAAGCUGCUCGGAUUACAGGUGUCCGACACUGCAUCCAGCUAUAAAUCAUUUUUUAAAAUACCGUGAGACAUUAUUGUUAAUGUUAUGAAUUUACAUGAUUGCCAUAUGUCAGUAUCUUUUUAAAGAUAUAAGGGAGGCAUAUAUCAGAUAUAGGAAAACCUUUCAUCUGCAGAGUUCUUCAUCAUGAGUUAUUUCUGAUCUGAUAAAUAUGCAGAGCUUAUCUUUACUCUUAGUAUUCUAUAGAGCUUUUAAGUCUAAUUGAUGUAUGAAUCGGAGGUAACUUUUUUCCCCUUCUAAGCUCAUAUUGUACAACUAAAGUUGAUAGAAAUUCUUUUGUGUUGAGAAAUAGUUUACUUUUUUGAAAAUGGCCCUUAAAAUAAAACAAACAAACAAAAUACAUGGAAAUGAGAAAGAGAAUGGCUUUUAGGCUUUAAUCUACAGUGGAUAUACUCAGCAGAGAAAGAGAGUAAGUGCUUUUCCAAGACCCCAAAGAUAACACCAUACAACUACCAUCAGAAUACCAGUGGACAAGACAUAGCCCUGGCCCUCUAUGUGCUUCCAGCUAUAAGAAGGGAGGUAUAGCCAGGCACAGUGGCGUAUACUGUAAUCCCAAUAGCUUGGGAGGCUGAGGUAGGAGGAUCACGAGUUCAAAGCCAGCCUCAGCAGAAGUGAGGCGCUGAGCAACUCAGUGAGUCCCUGUCUCUAAAUAAAAUACAAAAAAGAUCAGAUGUAGCUCAGUGGUUAAGUGCCCCUGGGUUCACUUCCUGGUACAAAAAAAAAAAGGAGGAGGAGGAGGGAGGCAUAAUAAUCACCUGAAAUGCUUAUCAAUAGAAAUUAAUAAAACAAAGUAUAAUUUGUGUAAGUUUCCAGGAAAUAAUGUAAAUAAAUUCUUUUUUGUUUUAAAAAAUUGCUCUAAAGAGUUAUACAUGACAGUAGAAUGCAUUUUGAUACAUUAUUCAUAAAUGGAGUCUAACUUCUCAUUCUUCUGGUUGUACAUGAUGUAGUACAAUUACAAUUGUGUAAUCAUAUAUGUACAUAGGGUCAUAAUAUCUGAUUCAUUCUAUUGUUUCUGUCCCCCUUGUAAAUAAAUUCUUGAACUCAGGAUUGUAUAUGUUGUAUAUACUUUUAAAAAAAAAUAUUUUUUAGUUGUAGUUGGACACAAUACCUUUAUUUUAUUUAUUUAUUAAUGGUGCUGAGGAGGUAGGUAGGCGAGCGUUCUACCGCUGAGCCACAACCCCAGCCCUGUAUAUUCUUUUUUUAAAAAAAAUUUAAAAUUUAUUCUAAUUACUUAUACACGACAGUAGAAAACGUUUAUGCACUUUGAUAUAUCAUACAUAAAUCGAUAUAAUUUCUCAUUUUUCUGAUUAUACAUGUAGAAUCACAUUGGUUGUGCAGUCAUAUAUGUACAUAAAGUAAUAAUGUCUGUUUUUUUUUUUUUUUAAUAAUAUCUGUUUUUUUCUAUUAUCGUUCCUACCCACAUAUCCUUCCUACCUACUUACCCCCUCCUUCCCUUAACUCCUCUCUUUCUAAUCUAAAGUAAUGAUAUUCUUCCCCUGAUUUUUUAGGUGUAGAUGGACACAACACAAUGCCUUUAUUUUUUUAUGUGGUGCUGAGGAUUGAACCCGGGUCCUGCCCGUACUAGGCGAGCGCUCUACCGCUGACCCACAAUCCCAGCCCUUAACAUGAUAUUCUACAGCUCCAUCCCUUUACUGGCAAAUGCUAUAAUUUCAUUCUUCCUUAAGGCUGAGUAAUAUUCCAUUUUACGCCCCCCCCCCUUUUAAAAAAUCCAUUCAUCUCUUGAAGGUCACCUAGGUUGUUUCUAUAGUUUAGCUAUUGUGAGUUCAGCUUAUGCUGGAUAUUCUUUUUUUUUUUUUUUUUUUGUGGUGCUGGGGAUUGAACCCAGGGCCUUGCGCAUGGGAGGCAAAGCACUUUACCAACUGAGCUAUAUAUCCCCAGCCCUGGAUAUUCUUAACAACUAUGAUAAAGUCUAUUUUAUGUUUCAAGCUUAAUUUUUAAAAUUAUAGAUGCAAUAACCAGUUUAUUAUAGAACCUGGUUUCAUAAGUACAAAAUAAUAUUAAGAGGCAGAAUGUAACCUAGUAAUAACUCUUAGUUGCCUUUUCACUGCAGUUUUUUCUUUAAAAAAAAAAACACACCACAGAUUACAUACAUUUGGAAUUUCAUAUUUUUCUGCUUAAGAUUAUAUCAUAAACCUUUACAUUUUUCAUAUGCUAAUAUUUUUAUAAUAGUUGUAGCCUCACCAUAAUUUACUUAACUAGUUUCUUAUUGUUGAGCAUUUGACCUAUUGUCAGUGUUUUGCUAUAAGAGAAAUGAAAGAAUCAGUGACUGAACUCUGAAUUUUCAGAUAUCAAAGAAUAUUUGUUAGGAAAGUAGAAAUUGGAUAGUUGGGAUGGUUAGGGAAGUGUGGUGGUAUACCUAGUGGUGGUUGUAUUUCUGAAUUAUUCUGUGGAUGUGGGUGUAGAUUGCAUUUGAUUAGUGUUUUUUCCUCUCCCCUUCAAAUCUUAGUUUUUUUUUUCCACUUCUUUAGUAAUAGCUUUUUGAAAAAGCAUAUUAUCAUUAGAUCAAAGGGAAGAAAUAUUUUUAAGUCUUUUGAUAAUAGUGCAAGUCACUUUUUGGAUAUUUUGCUUUCAUUGGUACCACAUGAGGGUGCUUGUUUCAAUGGUAGUUGUUACUUAAGAAAGAAGAGCAAGCAACAGAAAUGACCCCUAUACUAAAAUCUUGUGUGAAAUAUAGAGUUUGGACUAUUUUUUAAAAUAUUGAUCAGCCCUUCAUUUUAAUCCCUGCUGAGUUUUUUUUUUUUUUUUUGCCCCCAUUCUGUAAAACAGGAGAUUUGAUGAAGAGUGCUGCAGGAGAGUUUGCAGAUGAUCCCUGCUCUUCUGUGAAGCGAGGCAAUAUGGUUCGGGCAGCUCGAGCUUUGCUCUCUGCUGUUACCCGGCUGCUGAUUUUGGCUGAUAUGGCAGAUGUCUACAAACUACUUGUUCAGCUGAAAGUUGUAAGUAUGGGCCUAUGUUUGUAAUUUGUUCUUUGUGUAUCAUAGUGAAGCUGAUGGUGGCCAUUCUUAGUUCAUCAGUUCUUAGGUUUUAGUUUGGUUUUGAAGUUUAUCUAAAUGGACCAUGCAUGUUUUUGUUUAGUUUAUGCUUACUACUUUUUCAAGUAUAUAUGAUCUGGGCCCUCCUAUGAGCCAGUGUUGUCUUGAUUCUAAGGAAGAACUUGUAGCAAAGGUAUUGUUUAGACUUCUUUGCAGUACUGAUUAAACAUUUCCUUGCAUUGGUAGAAUUGAAAAACUAAGAUACAUUAAAUUGUACACUUUUAGAUAGAGACCAAUAUUACUAUAUGUCCUUUCUACCUUUUGUAAAGCAUCCAUGUAAUAGGAGGUCCCUAGCAGCUCAAGAGAUUUAACUUUGAAUUGCUUUUGAGUAGUUGUUAAAAGGAAUUAAAAAAUAUUCUCAGAUACCAUACCAUACAUAUCAUUAUCAAUAGACUUGUAAGUCAGAACUUUUGUUUUUUGGGGUUGUGUUUUAUAGGUAGAAGAUGGUAUCUUGAAACUGAGGAAUGCUGGCAAUGAACAAGACUUAGGAAUACAGUAUAAAGCCCUGAAACCUGAAGUUGAUAAGCUGAACAUUAUGGCAGCUAAAAGACAACAGGUACAGUCAUUAUUUGGGGAUAUUUUAAAAUUGUUUAUAUUUAGUGAGGAAAAAACCAUUUUGCCUACGUUUUCUGAUGGUACCAUUAUCUUGCUCUGCUAAUACAGUUUAAUUAAAAUAUUUAAUCUAAGGUAUCAGUUCAGUAUUGUGCUCUUAACAGAAGUAUAAUUAUAAUAAAGUUGUAUUCAUGUUAUUCUCUCAUUUUAAUUUUGUGAAAAUUUUAAGUAGUUUAUCAUUUUUAAUGAAGAUAUAUAUGGGGAGGUGAUUGGCCUUUGUUAUAUGUGUUCAAGUAUUAAUGUGAGUUUUAGUAGAAUUAGUAGAAUUUAGAUCUUUAGGAAACCUAAACAAGUUAAAACAUAUUAAAGUUAUCUCUACAUCUGAGACCCUCCCUGCUGCAUUAUCACUUUUAAAGUGGCUCUUAUAAUCAUUACUAGUAGUUUUUGUUGUGUGAGGCAUGUGGAUCAUUAUUCUCAUUUUUUUCAAGUUCCACAACCUGUUUGGUAUUUUUGCUGUUGGGGUCUUUGAAAUCCUUCCUCUGUCUUUUCUGUUGGAUACUUUGUAUUUUAGGUUUGUGUUCUGCAAGGAGGAUACAUGCAUUGCCAUCCAGCUCUUUUAUAACUCCCUAAGUACUGAUGAAACUUACUCUACUUCCCCGCCUCAAGGAUGGUGCUAAGGAUUGAACCCAGUGCCUUCUGUAUUCUAGACAAGUGUUCUACCACCAAGCCACACCCCCUACCCAGCAACUACUUUUCUUAUAUUAAAACAAUCUCUGAGAGGCUGGAGUUGUGGCUCAGAGGUAGAGUGCUUGCCUACCAUGUGUGGGGUGCUGGGUUUGCUUCUCAGCACCACGUAUAUAAAUAAGUAAAUAAAAUAAAGGUCUAUCAACAACUAAAACAUAUUUAAAAGAAAACAAUCUCUGAAAGGAUGAAUUGUUAUUAUUACCUAAUACUCUUAUCAGUUAGGAUAUCUUGUACUGUCUGUACAGGAAACCCAACUCUUAACUCCUUGAAUAGAGGAAGUGGGUAUUUUUUCACUGACAAUAGCCAACAGUAAAAUGAAUAAUUGAUAAAGAAAAUGUAGUAUAUACAUGGAUUAAUACUCUCCAUCAUAAAAAAGAACAAAACAGUGUCAUGUGCAUAGCAUAGUGUUAACAGGAGAUCAUUAUGCUAAGUGAAAUACACUAGGCACAGAAAGAUGAGUGCUGUAUGAUUUUACUCAUAAACAGAAUAAAGAAGAAAUAAUAUGAGGGAAACCCUAUUGACUUUAACUUGUUUUUUUUUUUUCCUCACUUAAAAAUCAACUUUCUUCUAAACCUAUUGCUUAGAAACCAAACUUAUCGCUUCCACUAAACAAUGUUCAUAAUGAAAGCAGUACUAAAGUUACCAUUUGUCCAUUUCCUAUGCACAAAUAUACACAAAGUACAUAUUUUAUUAAAAGUUGAAAAAUUGUAAUCGUUUUAUUUUUUUUUAAAUACACAGCAGCAGAAUGUAUUACAAUUCUUAUUACACAUAUAGAGCACAAUUUUUCAUAUCUUUGUAUAAAGUAGGUUCAUGCUGAUUCGUGUCUAUGUAUAUAUUUGGGUUUUUUUGUAUUACAAUUCUUAUUACACAUAUAUACAACAAUUUUUCAUAUCUCUGUAUAUAAAGUAGGUUGACACCUAAUUCUUGUCUUCAUAAAUGUACUUUGGAUAAUGAUGUCCACCACAUUCCAUCAUCCUUGCUAAUCCCCUACCUCCUCCCUUUCCCUCCCUCCUGUCUUCCCUAUCUAGAAUUCAUCUAUUCAUCCCAUAUUCCCCCUCCCUACCUCAUUUUGAGUCAGUCUCCUUAUAUCAGAGAAAACAUUUGGCAUUUGUUUUUUUGGGACUGGCUAACUUCAGUUAGCAUUAUCUUCUCCAACGCCAUCCAUUUACCUGCAAAUGCCAUGAUUUUAUUGCUGAGUAAAAUUCCAUUGUGUAUAUAUGCCACGUUUUUUUUUUUAACCAUUCAUCACUGAAGGGCAUCUAGGUUGUUUCCACAGUUUAGCUAUUGUAAAUUGUGCUGCUGUAAACAUUGAUGUGGCUGUGUCCCUGUAGUAUGCUAUUUUUAAGUCCUUUGGGUAUAGUCCGAGGAGAGGAAUAGCUGGGUCAAAUGGUGGUUCCAUUCCCAGAUUUCCAAGGAAUCUCCAUACUGCUUUCCAUAUUGGCUGCACCAAUUUGCAGUCCCACCAACAAUGUAUGAGUGUACCUUUUUCCCCACAUCCUCGCCAACACUUAUUGUUGUUUGUCUUCAUAAUAGCUGACAUUCUGACUGGAGUGAGAUGAUAUCUUAGAGUAGUUUUGAUUUGCAUUUCUCUGAUUGCUAGAGAUGAUGAGCAUUUUUUCAUAUAUUUGUUGAUUGAUUGUAUGUCCUCUUCUAAGAAGUAUCUGUUCAGCUCCUUGGUCCCUUUAUUGAUUGGGUUAUUUGUUAUUUCGGUGCUUAGCUUUUUAAGUUCUUUAUAUACCCUAGGGAUUAGUGCUCUAUCUGAUGUGUGAGGGGGAAAGAUUUGCUCCCAGGAUGUAGGUAGGCUGUCUGUUCACCUCACAGAUUGUUUUUUUGCUGAGAAAAUCUGGACAUUUUUUUCAACAUGUUAUCUUUAGUGUACCUGUUGCUAGAUGGGUGUAGAUGUUCUAAGUGUGAUAUUUGCAUAUAUCAAUGUGUCCGAUGAGAAUAAAAGAUUUUUUUUAUAUGUCUCUCUUUGUGCAAACAACCUAGAAGCCCUCAUAAACUCACCCUGAAUCUGAAAUGUGCACAUAUAUACAUACCUAUGCUGUUUUUUCCUUUGUAUAUUAUGUGUAUUAUAAUUUGUACAUAAUGGUGGAAUUUGUUGUUACACAUUCAUGCUUGCACACAAUAUAACAGUAUAUUUUGGCCUUGAUUGUUCCCCCAGCACUUACCCCCUCCUUCCUUGUCUCCCAACCCCAGUUGUUCUCCUCUACUCAUCUCCCUUUGAUUUUCCUAAGAUUCCUACCACCACCUUUUUAAAAUCUUUUCCCCCUCUAGUUUCCACAUAUGAGAGAAAACAUAUAACCCUUGACCUUAUGAGUUUGGCUUAUUUCAUGUAACAUAAUGGUCUCUAGUUCCAUCUGUUUUUGUGCAAAUUACACUUCAUUUUUCUUUAUGGCUGAAUAAAACUCCAUUGGGUAUAUAUGUCAAGUUUUCUUUAUCCAUUUAUCUGUUGAUGAACACCUAUACUAGUUCUCUAGUUUGGCUAUUAUGAAUUGUGAUGCUAUGAUGUAUCACUAAAGUAUGGUGACUUUAAUUCUUAGAAUAAGUAUUGAGGAAUGGUAUAGGUGGGUCAUAUAGUAGUUCCAUGCCUAGUCUUUUGAGGAACCUUUACACUGAUUUCCAUAGUGGUUGUACUAAUUUACAAUCCCACCACCAGUGUAAAGGUGUUUCUUUUUCUUCAUCAUUUAUUAUUGUUUGUAUUCUUGAUGACUGCUGUUCUGUCAGGUGAGAGAUGAAGUCUCAGUGUAGUUUUGAUUUACGUUUCCACAAUUGCUAAUGAUGAACAUUUUUUCAUGAUUUUUUUUUUUUUUGGCCAUUUGUAUUUCUUCUUUUGAGAAGUGUUUGUUUAAUUCGUUUACCCAUUUAUUAAUUAGGUUAUUUGAGUUUUUUUGUGUUUAGUUUUUUUUUUUUUAGUUCUUUAUAUAUAUUCUAGAUAUUAAUCCUCUGGCAACAUGCCCAACAGGCCUAUAUGUCCCUCAAUAUCCUGGUUUUUAUCAUUGUUCACCCUAUUUUCUGCCCUGGGAUCUACCAUGUCUGGAUGCAUCAAUGGGCUCCUUUUGCCCUGUUAUUCCUGGUUAGGUUUGGCCAGUGGGAGCAUAAGCAGGAGGUUAAAGGAGAUAGGAGAGUGAAGUUGGGGUGUUUUUCAUAGACCCCCUACCUGCUGGUGGCCCUGGGUAGAUCCAAAGUUCCUGGGUUCCUGCACCCUGGAUUCUGGUAACUGUUGCUGCUUCAUGUCCCUUCAGACUUAAGUGACCUAAUAGCCUUGUGGUUUUCCUAUACUUCAUGUGUAUUCCUAGUUCUUUUCUUGUGAAUUAAAAUUCUGUUCAUUUUAUCUUAAGGGCCCAGCUUGUUGGAAACUUCACUCUGGAUAUUUCCAUAUUCAGCUGCAUUUGGAUACUAUCCGCUAGUUUCCUUCAAUAACUGGUCAUGUUUUCUCACACUGUGUUUUCUAAUAGAAUUCUUUUUCUGCUGUAUGCUUCCAUUGGUCUGUGUUCGCUUGACUUUUUCUUUUCUCCCCAGAAAUGUUAUGUGAUAAUUUGCUUCCUAAUUGAGCCUUUCAUCUUUGUAGGCACUUUGUCCAGGAAAAGGGAGUAUUUCCUCAAGACUGUGUGGCUCUCUUAACUGCCCUAGUAUCAUUUAACAACAGCUACCUAUUAAAGAAAACCUCAUAAGGUCCACGUGCUUUCUGGAAUUUACCUUUUUUGGUUUUGGAUAUGGCAUGGUAGUCAUGAUGACAUUGUUGACAAUAAUAUUAGAAUAAAACAUUUUGUUAGAGUUAUUCAUUAGUAACUCUAAGCAAGUGUUUACUAUGUGCCAAGCACUGUUAUAAGGUAUCCCCCCCCCACACCCCUUGCAGUGCUUGGGAUUGAAGCUAAGGCCUCAUGCAUUCUAGGCAAGUGCUCUACCACUGAGCUACAUCCUCAGCCCUAUUACAAAUCCUUUAUAAACACAAACUGAAUGUAAUCUUUUUUUUUUAAUAUUUAUUUAUUUAUUUUUCGGUGGACACAACAUCUUUGUUUGUAUGUGGUGCUGAGGAUCGAACCCGGGCCGCACGCAUGCCAGGCGAGCGCGCUACCACUUGAGCCACAUCCCCAGCCCCCAUGAAUUUAAUCUUAAGAAAGUAGUAAAUAGGCAGAUACUAUAAUUAUUCACAUGUUAAUUUUUGUAAAUGAAGGAACUGUAACACACAGAGGUUCUGUAAUCUGGCAAGGUUUUUCACUUAGUAAGUAGUGGAUCUAGGAUUUGAUCCUAAGCUGUCUCACUUAAGAACAGGGAUUUUGUCUGUUUUAUUGCUCCUAGAAUCCCUAGUGCCUAGAACAUUGCCUAGACUUAGUAUUUCUUCUUUCUUUUUUUUUUUUUAAUUGUAGGCAUACACAAUACCUUUAUUUUAUUUGUUUAUAUGGGGUGCUGAGGAUUAAACCCAGUGCGUCACACAUGCUAGGUGAGCACUGCACUGCUGAACCACAACCCAGGCCCUAGUAUUUCUUAAUAAUUAUUUGUUUAACAAAUGUAUAAACAGACUACUUGCUAUACUGCAGAUCUAUCCUGGAGUGGGAUUCUAAGUGUGGCUCUAAUUUGUUACUUUCUUGGGCUAAAAUAUUGUUUGCUAACUAGAAGUGUUGCAUUUCUAUUAGCCUCUAGGCUCUACUUUGACUGUAAGGGUAUCUUAAUACAUUUUCUGUUGUGUCUGAAUACUACAUACUGGGUGAUUUACAAUGAAUAGAUGUUUAUUUAGCUGGUAGUUCUGGGGGCAGAGAAAUCCAAGAGCUUGGUCCCAGUUGAUUUGCUCAGCAUCUACUGAGGGCUUUCUUGAUGCAUUCUAACAUGGAAGAAGGUAUCUCUUAUCAAGAGAAAGCUUGGAUCUCUUUUUCUCUCCUAUUAAAACCCUCAUGACCUCAUUCAAUCCUGAUUACCUCUCAAAAGCUUCACCUGCAAAUAGCAUUAACAUAUGAUUUUGGAGAUUGUUUUCAACAUGUAAACUUUUGGAGGAAUACAUUCAAACCAUAGCAAAGUGUAAAGGUGAUGGCAAAGUUCAAAUUGAGCUAACAUUAACCUUGGUUUCUGUAAGGAGGACCAAUGCUGACUCAUGCUGUCAACUCUGGGUCUCCAGCAUGCUAGGAACUUAGUGUUUUAAUGUUCAUAUUUCAUUCACCCAUCUAAGGACAACUUAUUUGAUAUUUGGAAGAACGUAAUGCCUCUUCUUUCUAUAAACUCUGCUUUGCAUGGUUAUUUUUCCAAAAAUUUGAACAGGUAUAUUAUUUUGUACCUGUAAAUAUGAUCUUUUGAAUACAAGACGAGAUGUGAUCAAAUAUAUCUGUGGCUAUGAUUUUAUCUUGUUAAAUAGGGAAAUAAGAAGAAACUUUCACUUGGGUAGAAAUAAUAUUAUACUCUGAUGAGAAGAUAGCUUCUACUUCCUGGUCAUUGAAUGGACUGGAUUGUUAAUUUGAGUUCUUUCCUCUAUGUUUUCUGUUUGGCUAUUCCUGAGUCGGUUUGAAUCAUAACUGGAUUGGUGAAGUUGAGGAAUCAUGAAAGCUAAACUAGACCACAGGAUUCUAAUUUAUUUUUUGGGUACCAGAGAUUGAAACUCAGGGGCACUCAACCACGGAGCCAUAUCCCCAGCCCUAUUUUGUAUUUUAUUUAGAGACAGGAUCUCACUGAGUUGAUUAGCGCUUUCGUUAUUUAGUGACAGGGUCUCGCUGAGUUACUUAGGGCCUCUCAGAGUUGCUGAAUUGGCUUUGAACUUGCAGUCCUCCUACCUCAUCCUUCCAAGUUGCUGGAAUUAUAGGUGUGUACCACCACAGCCGGCCCAAGAACCUUUUUUUUUUUUUCCUCUUUGAGUAAUUUCCAGUAACAAUGGGAUACAGAAAUGCCUCCUUCUGGUCUUGCUUAUUGUCGAUAUCACUUAACUGUUGCUUUGCAUAUGUUCUCAGCCUACCCAGUAGAUACCAUCAAUGGUAAGGAUGCCAGAAACCUCAGAUUCUUUUGUUGGAUCAAUAAUGGGGUACAGGAAAUAGAAAAGGAUAUUUUUCACUUAAGACUAUAUCUAUUCAGAAUAUUAUAAUCAUGGAUUAAAAUAAUGGAGCAUAUGAACCUCAACUUUAUGAUUUAAUGACUUGUGUACUGCUGAAUUUUAUUGGGUAAGGAAAGUUUGGUUCUGUGUUUUAGGGUUCUGUGUCUUGUGUCUUAGUCUUUGGGUUAUCAAAGGGGAGAGGAGUUCUGUACUUGUGAGAAUAACUGGGUAUAUCCUCACCUAGGUGGUUUCGCAUAGUUCACAUAUAACUAUGUUAUUCUGCUUCAGAUUUCCCCAAACUCUUCUAUUUUUUUUUUAAACAUUUACUUUUUAGUUGUAGUUGGACACAAUGCCUUUAUUUUGUUUACUUAUUUUUAUGUGGUGCUAAGAAUCGAACCCAGGGCUUUGCACAUGCUAGGCGAGCACUCUACCGCUGAGCCACAACCCCAGCGCCCCCAAACUCUUCUAAUUGACUUGUGUAACUUAACAAAUCCUUAUUAUCUUACUUUGUUUAAAUGUGUGUCAAAAUGAUUUUUAUAUUUUGGUUUGCUGGAAUAGGUACACAUAUCUAUGUAUAAUUAUAAUCAAGAUGCUGAGUAGUAUUAUGUUUUUACUGUGCUAUGCUAGGUGCUUUACAUGCAUUAUCCCAUUUAUUCCCCCAAACAACAAAAGAGCUUCUGUUACUGCUCAUAUUUUACAGAGGGAGAAACUGAGCACAAAGUGUAAAAUAAGGUCACAAUAGCCAGGAAAAAGUAGACUAGGAUAUUUAAAUCCAGAUUUCUGUGAUUCUAAAGCCCAAACACAACAUAUUAACUCAUACUGGUUCCUUUGUGCUUAACUUUCAAGUCAGAUUGUUAAUGAAAAUAAUUCAAGUUAGAUUGUUAAUGAAAGUAAUGUGUCUGAUAGGUAGAACUCUUAACUUUACUGCCUGUACCAGCAAAUUUUCAUGUGACUCUAACCCACAUAAAGAAUGCUCCAUUUUCUUAUUUUACUCUUGUAGGAACUGAAAGAUGUGGGCCAUCGUGAUCAGAUGGCCGCAGCUAGAGGAAUCCUGCAGAAAAAUGUUCCGAUCCUCUAUACUGCAUCCCAGGCAUGCCUACAACAUCCGGAUGUCGCAGCCUAUAAGGCCAACCGGGAUUUGAUAUACAAGCAGCUUCAACAGGCAGUCACAGGCAUCUCCAAUGCAGCCCAAUCUACAGCAUCAGAUGAUGCCUCCCAGCAUCAGGGUGGAGGAGGAGGAGAAUUGGCAUAUGCUCUCAAUAACUUUGAUGUAAGUUACACUUGAGAGGAAACUUCAGACUCUCACCAGUAUGCAAAAGAUGACACUUAGAUUUGUGAUAUAAGUAGAAGAAUCAUCAGUCUACUUAAUCAUAACUUGAUUUAAAGCAUUUAUCUUUUUUCUUAGCUUGGAUUGGAUUUCGGGAUUCUUUUUUGCAACAAGUAUAUUUCCUAUGGGGUCAUUCUUCUUCUUUUUUUUUUUUUCUUCCUUUUUUUUGGUUCUGAGAAGUAAACCCAAGGGCUACAUCUCCAGCUUCCCCUCCCCCCACUUAAAAUUUUUUUUUAGUUGUUGAUGGACGUUUAUUUUAUUCAUUUAUUUAUAUGCGGUGCUGAGAAUCCAACCCAGUGCCUCACACAUGCUAGGCAAGUGCUCUGCCAAUGAGCUACAACCCCAGACCUCCAGCCCUUUUUAUUUUGAGAUAAGGUCUCACUAAGUUGCUGAGGGCCUCACUUAUUGAGGAAAGCCUCAAACUUGUGAUCCUCCUGCGUCAGCCUCCUCAGUCAUUAGGAUUAAGGAUGUGUUACACUGCACCCGGCUAUGAGAUCAUUCUUUUUUAUUUUUUAAUUUUCUUUUCAGAUGUUGAUGGACUUUUAUUUUAUUCAUUUAUUUAUAUGUGGUGCUGAGAAUUGAACGAAGUGCCUCACACAUGCUAGGCAAGCACUCUAUCAAUGAGCCCCAGUCCCAAGAUCAUUCUUUAUUGAGGAUAUGAAUCUAGUUCAUUUGAUCCAAGAUUUUGACCUUCUGGAAGAUUCAUGAAGAUAUUGGAAAUAGAGCAGCAAUGUGUGCAGAGGUUUUGUCCCCUAAGAGAUCAUGGUCUAGUGGGGUAUACAGAUAUAUCAUAGUGACUGCUGCCAUCUUAAUCUUAUUUGUCUGCCUAGAUGUACUUCUCAGUAACUUUAAUUUGAAUCAUGAACAUAAAAUUUAAUCAAGUGGAAGCAGAUUUUGAAAUUAGCAUAAUACCACAUAUUGUGUGUAUAUACAGCCCUGUGUAUAUGACAUUAACUUCUUUGGUGGGUUUUGUUUUUAAUUCCUACCCAUACUGCUUCAUGGCUUCCAGUAGAUGGCAGCAGUUUAAGAUUUCUUUUUUUAAAGGGUAUUUUGUUUUGUUUUAAACCCAAUUGGUGGGGUAAUUUUUCUUUUUUUUAAAAUUAAGGUAAAGGAAACCAGUGUCCUUUCAGAAUAGAAAUAUUCAGGUUAUAGAAUCAAUACAAGGGGAGUGUAUUUUGUUUUUAACAUUUUUUUCUUUGCCUUAAUGUUUUCUUUGUCUGAUCCUUUAGGCUUUGUCUUAUCCUUUAGGCUUGUGUAACUGAUCCUUGCUGGUGUGCAUGGUUGAUUUAGGAUGGUCUUUUCAUGAAGCGUGAAGGCAGUGUUAAGCCUAAAGACCAUGAUAUUAGAAUUGAAAUUUUACCCUGGACCCUUAAACAUGAAAUAAAAUACCCAUUUAUAAGGAACUCUUAGGCUGCACCUAUAAUUUACUGGAACUGUUGUUUUCUCCUCUUCCAGUUUGACAGUAUUAGGUAUUUAUCUCUUUCAAGUUAGUAGGGGUCACAUUUUACCCUAAAUUAUUAAGUAAUAUCUGUAAUAUAAUAGCAGAAACCACUUAAUUUCUUAGAAUCACCGUUUCUUCAUUUGUAAAUGAGGGUUUGUCCUAAAUGAUCUGAGGCUCAUUGUGGCUCCACGAUUGUAUUACAAUUCUAUGAUCAUCCAUUCUUCAUUUCUAUUGGCCAGAAAGUAUUUUGUAUUCAGUUUUUAAUCAGAGAAAUCCUGUUAUGCAAAUUUGGUAAGAAAAAUGGUUAAGUAAAAUGUGUGGAUUAAUAAUAAAUUUAAAGUAUUACAUGUUCAAUUUUAAAACUGAGGUUUCUUUGGAAGGAAAGGAAAAAAUAUUUACUCAUUUGAAAACAUCAAGCUUUUUGUAGGAAAAAAAUUGGCAUUUAAAUUGAAAUUAAUAAGGACAUAAUCCUUAUAAAGAAAAAUUAAACCCAAAGUAAUUUGCACAGAUGGUUACCAUUGUGAGUGUAAAUUGUAUCAAGUGGGGACAUAGAUGAUCGAACUUGCACCUGUAGCUUACUUGUAUUUAGACCACACUCACUGGCAAAACUGUGUUUAAGUGGAGUCAGGAGGGAAGGGGAGAUGACAACAAUUUGUUUUUAGUGGAGCAAUUAUACUUCUUGCUAUCUUAGUGUACUUGUGGUCUUUGAGGAGGAAAGUUUCUAAUUUAGACACAAUAGGAUACAUUUGAGACCAAAUUGUUUAUAAAUCUUGAUUAGAUGUAUAAGGAGAGAAGUAGAUGGAAAUUAAUUUUAAUAAAUGCAUUUCUUUCUGAAAUUUUGGUGACAGAAGUAAAUUUUGUUUUUAUUUUUAAAUAUUUUUGUGUAGAACAAUUUUGCUACUCAUGUAGCAGUUUUAUACUUUGAAUGUAAGAAAGAUAAAUUAUUUUCCUUAUAAUUCUUAUUUGAUAAUAUGAAUUACUAAUACAGACUGACCUAUAGCUGUUUAGAAAAAGUAGUGUGGACAUGAUACAGUUGUAUUUGCAUUUGUGGUAUACCUUACCCAGACUGCUUGGCUGGAUAGUGCCUUUUUUGAAAAGUGAUUUAUUAUAGACCAACUUAUAGGAUGGCCCUUUAGCUACCAAGAAGAAUAACUUUCUAUUAGGUAUUAGAAUUAAAUCUUGAUAUUCCUAAACACUUUCCCUUACCUUGAAUGAUAAAGGGAACAGAGAUGAGCAUUCAUAUUCAAUAAUACUUUCUUGACAGAAACAAAUCAUAGUGGACCCCUUGAGCUUCAGUGAAGAGCGCUUUAGGCCUUCCUUGGAGGAGCGCCUGGAAAGCAUCAUUAGUGGAGCUGCCCUGAUGGCUGACUCGUCCUGCACACGUGAUGACCGUCGUGAGCGGAUCGUGGCAGAGUGCAAUGCUGUCCGCCAGGCCCUGCAGGACCUGCUCUCAGAGUACAUGGGCAAUGUGAGUGUCAGAAUCUUUCUUUAAAGUAAGAUAGUUGUAUCUCAGG
rnacentral:lncRNA from 1 species